ensembl:lncRNA
CAUUUUGCCUCCUGAACCACCAGCAGAAGUAGUGGACAAUGCGCUCCGCCGGUCGGCACGCGCUACCCGUGGACUACCACCAAGCCGAUAUCGACAUUAGGCUUGUCCAGUGGCAGGGACUACCUACGUUUAAGUGGGGGAGUAUGUCACUGGGUGGACUAUUGGGGACCCUUGAUUGCAUGCACAAAUGAUUGCAUAUUUUAUUGAUUUGUUGUUGCAUGUUUUACAGUUUGUUAUUUUAUGAUUGCAUGUUUCUAUGACUUGUUGUUUUGUGAUUGCAUGCUGGACAAUUUAUAAUCUGCUUUGAGUUCUGUUUGAGUUGUGUCCUCAAUUGACAAUCGUCCCCAACUAAUUAGCAAUUAGUGGCAUAUGGCAAAUGGACCAAUGGGGAAAGGCCAGGGGCAGAACUUUCUCUUUUUAAGCAGGAAGACAGAAGACUGGAAAGGAGGGCGAAACUGGAAAGGGGAGCCGGGGAGCAACAAGGAGAGCCGGGGAGCAACAAGGAGAGCCGGGGAGCAACAAGGAGAACCGGGGAGCAACAAGGAGAACCGGGAAGAAACGAGACACGAGAGAAGGGAGAAGCAGAGGUACUACCACCACCACCACCACCACCAGCAGCAGACUCACCAGCAGCAGCAGCAGCAGCAGCAGACUCACCACCAGAAGCAGCAGCAGCAGACUCACCACCAGAAGCAGCAGCAGCAGCAGCAGCAGCGGAGGGCAGGAGCAGACUCACCACCAGCAGCAGCAGCAGCAGAGGGCGACUGGCAGUCAGACGUCCACACCAACGUCUGAAUUCUUUAGAGUUCCUAGGGCUUUUACCUAGGUGGCGUUGUUGGCAACACUUUUAGUUUUUAAGAAGAAACCUCGGCCGCUGACAGACACGCCAGACAAUUACAGGGGAUGACAGGACAAGGAAGGAAGUGAAGUUAACCCAGGAGCACCAGAGGCAUGAAACUACAACAUAAAAGACGUGAACCCAAACCGUGAUGGGUAAUUACCAAGAAUGUCUGCAAUGGUUGUGACGGUUCCCCAAAUUCGUGAAUACCAUGACUUGGUCGAUUAAAAAGUAGCUCUCGAUCAGAGUCAAAUCACUUGGGUUAGAUCAGGACCUUCAGCUAAGUCUCAUAGCUUGUAUUUGUUGGAUGAGUUUGGUUAAUUGGUUUAGCCAACUCUGGUGAUAGGUAGCUCUAUUCUGAGGAACGCGAAGUUAGCGAAACCAGGGAGCUUACAUGUAUACUCGGGGCCAGAGCGGGCAACAUUGAGUCUUAUCUUUCACUGCUGGCUAAAGGCUGGCGCAUGCUUCUGCGUCUGCGUCGACGCACUUGUUUCAAUUCAUGGUUCUAAAAGGCUUGCAUGUGUUGCAGAGCAAAUUACCUCCAGAACAACAGGUGGAGUAACGUGUUUUGUUGAAGACGACCUAGAGAGUCACGUCUUUGUGUGUGGAAGUCGUUGGUUGGUUUAUUUAUUUAUCACAGACUUAAUUGCCCCGUGCAUCGCCACUGCUGCUUUUCAUCACUGACACAUUUGUCCUGUAUUUUCCUCCACAACUUUGUUCCCCUCGACCGGCAAACCGCCUUUUGCAGAGAUCUCCCUCCAUGAAUCCAACCCGCUUAUACAACCCGCCAAUGACUGCUUGUAUAAGCGGUCAUAUUUACGCAUUUCUUCCGACAAGUUCUUCAAUCUGAUCCGUUCUCUCGUUAACAUUCUUCGUUUUAAUAAUGGCGGUAUUGUGCCAAGAAAGCGGAUAUGUGAGACGACGUAAAGGAUGUAGUUAGCAGACCAAUUGCAGCCUUGUGCGCUCUGGGAGCCUUCCGUUGCUCGCUUUCGACGAAAGUCUAGAAAAAUGGGUCGAUGCAUGCAAGGGACACGCAAGGGGCUCUUGCAUCUCCAUCGCUCUGAAAACGCAGAAGCAUAAACUAGGCUUGAGAAUAAACGUAAAUACAGUUCGAUUGUAAUUCACGUCGGCGGUAAUGACUCCCGAUUAGGUCGCUCGGAGGUCACUAAAGUUAAUCGGUGUGUACCUACGCUAAAACAUGUCGGACAACUUAGUUUUCUCUGGCCCCCUCCCAAACUUGAUCAGUGACGACAUGUAUAGCCGCAUGUCGUUAUUCUGCCGCUGGUUGUCGAGGUGGUGCCCAGUAAAUAAUGUGGGCUUCGUUGAUCACUGGAAGACGUUUUGGGGAGAGCCUGGUCUGAUUAGGACGGACGGUAUCCACCCCACUUUGGGUGGAGCUGAAUUUAUUUCUAAGAAUCUGAGCCAGUUUCUUAGUGGACUUAAUUCAUGACCCAGAGUUCAGACCAGGAAGCAGAGUCGCAGUCUUACACAGUUCUCUGGUCUUCCAUCCGAGCAGUGACUCACUCAAACCAUAAUUAACCCUAUAGAGACCGUGUAAAUGGUAAAUGGCCUGUACUUGUAUAGCGCUUUUCUAGUCUUCUGACCACUCAAAGCGCUUUAACACUACAUGACAUCAUUCACCCAUUCACACCCAUUCAUACACUGAUGACAGGAGAACCAUACACAGUGACACCUGCCAUCAGUAACUACCAUUCACACACUGUAGUCGCAGCUACAGGAGCAAUGUUGGGUUAAGUGUCUUGCCCAAGGACACAACGACAUGCGGGUUGGCCUGGGAUCGAACCGACAACUCUCUGAUUGGAGGACGACCGUGCUCCCCACUCACCCACAGUCGCCUCACGAACACAGUUGUCUAAAUUAAAAGGUAAACAACCGAGGAGUUAUAGUAAAUAACUUAAUCAAAGUUAAAACUAAUAAUGCAACAGUGCAACAAAAUAGAAUUAAAGGGUGACUUUUGAAUAUUGCAUCUGUCAUGAACCGGGUAUCCUCCUCUUUUCCUUUCCAACCCUUUCUUCACUUACACACACACACACUUAGGCCACAUUUACACAUAGCCGGGUAUUUACAGAAACAAAUAUUUCUGCCCCUCCGUUUUCAAAAAGGUUUCUGUUUAUAUGAACCCUCAUAAAUACGGCCCCGGACGCCAUCUAAACUAUGCCAAACCUGUAGUGUAACGAGAAGGAUAAAGACAUGCAAACCAAUCAGAAUUCUCAAAACCAACAACAAUUUGCAUACUGUGACGUUUGACAACCUAAAACUCUGUUGGACCUAAAUCACACGCAAACACAAAAACAGAGUUUUCAGAAAUCUCCACUUUGGCCGGAGUUUUUAGAAAUGAUCGUUUUCCGUGAUAAAACCUCAGUUUUUGUGUAAAUAAAAGGCCAAAACGCAUGAAAAUAUACGUGUUUUCCCAUCGUGUAAACGGGGUCUUAGACCUGCUCAUUCAUUCCCAGGUGCUUCUCAUCUCGUCAUCCUCUCUUCCCCUCACCUGUUCCUACCUUCUGCAAUUAAACUCUUUAUUUCUAGCCUGCCUCUUCCCCUUGUUCUCUGCCAGAGUAUUGACUAUGCACCCGACGUACCUGUACCUGCUGUCUCGUUUCUCCUGUCUUGUCGUGUCCUAACGGUUCCAACGAGUCCAAACCACUGUUCCACCUAGCCUCCCGUUUGACGUGGGCGGCCUGCUUUCUGGAGUGCUCUUCCCUCGCCCUGGAGCUCGUUCUCUGCACUCUCCGGAAUUCCCCGGCGACCGGCCAAGCGCCUGCGCCUCUUCUGUUAAGCCUUUAGUGCCAUUUUGUUUUUGAGACAACCUUGUGGCUACUUUUAGUUCCUUUUUGCCUUGGACAUUCUAAGUGGAUUAAAGCAGACUUUACUGCCCUUACGCUUGGGUCCUCUCUCCUCCACCCACACAACAUUAUCUAAAACUGUUUUAAAUUAACUAUUAUCAGAUCGCUAUGUUGAUAUAUAUAAGUCAUGGUAAUACUCCUAUUCUUUGAGGCACAGGCCGAGAGGGUGGAAUAGCUGCCGAACUAUUCAUAAACCUUAAAGCUGAGCUGGAUUAUAAAAGCCUGGUUUUCAGUGUUUCGCAACCAGGCUGGAAAAUAAUCCAGCCGGUUCUCUUUGUAAUCGUGUAUACGGCCCAAGGUCCUUAUUCAGAAUUCUAUCUGAAAGUUUGGUCCUUAAAAUGGACAAGGUAAUUUUAGUCGGUGAUUUUAACAUUCAUGUGGAUUUUGACAACGACAACCUUGGCACUGUAUUUCUUUCUUUGUAAGAUUUAAUUGUUUUCUGUCAGAGUAUAAAUAAACCAACUUACUGUUUUAACCACACUCUCGACUUGGUUCUUGUGUAUGGGAUUGGGAUUGAACAUUUAACAUUUUUUCCACAGAGCCCUCUCUUGUCGGAUCAUUGUCUGAUAACCUUUGAAUUUCUACUACCGCAAUCUCCUCCUCUUGCCAAGGGUUUCUACAGUCAAUACUUACCGGAUACCGCUAUAACCUCAUUUAAAGAAGCCAUUCCUUCUGCUCCAAGUUCAGUGUCUUGUCUCAAGUUAUCCGAAGAGAAGUGAGAACAGUCCGUCCCAGAUCGAUCAUUUUGUCACUGCUGCUACAGACUCUUUGAGAGUGGCGCUGGACGCUAUUGCUCCUCCGGAAGAAGAAUAGCAAAAAGAAGGAAGUUUGCUCCUUGGUAUAACCCUCAAACCCAGAACCUAAAGCAAACUGCGGAAACUUGAACAAUUAUGGUAUUCCACCAAAUCGGAAUGAUCUAGGCUAGUUUGGCAAGACAGCCUUAAAACAUAUAAGAAGGCUCUCUGCAAGACAUCUUAUUACUCAUUAUUAAUUGUGAAAAAUAAAAAUAACUAAGGUUUCUCUUCAGCACUGUAGCCAGACUGACAGAGAAUAGUAACGACUUCAUGAAUUUCCUCAAUGAUAAGAUUCUGAAUAUCAAAGAGAAAAUUGAUGGUCUCCUGCCUUCAACCAGUGCUGACCUGGAUGGCGCCGAUGAUGGCUGCCAUGGUGCUUCGGUGUGCUUCGUUUUUUGUUGUUAAUUAUGUUGCCUGCUGCGAUUCCCGGAGCUCUUUCACCAGAGAUGAGCUCUUGAACAUCCGUGGAACAACUCCAGCGGAGUUACAUCCAACUUUCCUGCUAUCUUUGGUGGAAUUACUGGACAUUAUAGUCAAAGGUGCGCUCACCUUUCAUCACGUGGUGAGACGCCGUAGGAGAGGAAAACGGGCCGGCUCGUUGGCGAAACAGCUGCUCAAAGCGGACCGCAACACGGAGCUCUCCGGCAAGACGAAGGGUGGAGGAAUCUGCUUUUACUUCAACAACAGCUGGUGCAACGACGUAACGGUGAUCCUAAAACACCGUUCUCCUGAUCUGGAAACUUUCUUCAUCAACUGCAAACCAUUUUAUUCCCCCCGUGAGUUCGCUUUAUUCAUCCUGGUCUGUGUUUACAUACCGCCGCCGGGCAACGUGCACGAGGCACAGCGGACACUCGCCGACAAGAUACGGCGUGUGGAGCGGACCAGCCCGGACUCUGUAGUUAUUGUCCUCGGGGACGGAAAUCUCACACACAAACUUUCUAAGUACAGACAGUUUAUUAAAUGCCCCACCAGAGAGGAGAACACUCUGGAUCACUGUUACACCACAGUAAGCAGGGCUUAUCACGCCAUCCCUCGUGCUGCACUGGGACACUCUGACCACGUCAUGGUCCAUCUGAUUCCUGCAUACAGGCAGAAACUAAAGCUCUACAAACCUGUGGUGAGGGAAUUCAAGAACUGGACCAGUAAACUCCUCUGGAGUUCACAGAGGCUGUAACUUCCUACAUCGGCUUCUGUGAGGACAGCUGUGUACCAUCAUGCACCAGGGUGAGUUACAACAACAACAAACCCUGGUUCACAGCGGAACUCAGAACACUACGCCUGCAGAAGGACCAGGCAUUUAGGAGUGGGGAAAAAGACUUGUACACAGAGUCAAAAUACAAGUUUAGCAAAGCGGUGAGAGAUGCCAAACGACUGUACUUUGAGAAACUCCAACAACAGUUCUCAGCAAGUGACUCUGCUUCGGUUUGGAGAGGCCUCAAACACCUCACUAACUACAAGCCAAAAAAAGAUGAGAUGAGCUGAAUGAGUUCUACUGCAGAUUCGAAAGACAAUGUCCUGAUCCCAUCCCUCACAGCUCCACCAACCUCCACCGACAAGGGCAGGCUGCAGCGUGUCAUCCGCUCUGCAGAGAGGGUGAUCGGCUACAGGCCUGUAGUCAUGAAGUCUUUUGAAGGGCCAGUCCUGACCCACCUGAAAUCCCUCCUGGACCCCCUAUAGUUCGCCUACAGAGCCAACAGGUCUGUGAACGAUGCUGUCAACAUGGCCCUCCACUACAUCCUCCAGCAUCUGCACUCCCCAGCAACCUACGCCAGGAUCCUGUUUGUGGACUUCAGCUCUGCCUUCAACAGCAUCAUCCCGUCUCUGCUGCAGGACAAACUCUCCCAGCUGCACGUGCCCGAUUCCACUUGCAAGUGGAUCACAGACUUCCUGUCUGACAGGAAGCAGCACGUGAAGCUGGGGAAACAUGUCUCAGCCACUCUGAACAUCAGCACCGGUUCCCCCCAAGGCUGCGUUCUUUCCCCUCUGCUCUUCUCCCUGUACACCAACAGUUGCACCUCCAGUCACCAGUCCGUCAAGCUCCCGAAGUUUGCGGAUGACACCACCCUCAUUGGACUGAUCUCUGGUGGGGAUGAGUCCGCCUACAGGUGGGAGUCUGACCAUCUGGUGUCCUGGUGCAGUCAGAACAACCUGGAGCUCAACGCUCUGAAGACGGUGGAGAUGGUUGUGGAUUUCAGGAGGAACAGAGCCCCACCCUCCCCCAUCACCCUGUGUGACUCCCCUGUCACUAUUGUGGAUUCCUUCCGUUUCCUGAGCUCCAUCAUCACCCAGGACGUCAAGUGGGAGCUAAACCUCAGCUCCAUCACCAAGAAGGCUCAGCAGAGGUUGUUCUUCCUGAGGCAGCUACAGAAAUUCAACCUGCCAAAGACGAUGAUGGUCCACUUUUACACGGCCAUCAUCGAGUCCAUCCUCUGCUCCUCCAUCACCAUCUGGUACGCUGCAGCAACAGCCAAAGACAAGGGCAUUGUCAUUACAAAGUUUUAUGCACUGUUGAUCCUCUCUUGACCGAUGAAAGACAUCUAUCGAGUGAGUGAUUGGCGUGUUUCUGCUGGUGAAACGGAGUAAUAAACAUGAUGAUAAAAUACUUCAGUGCGACGCGUCUUGAGUACAAUCUCCUCAUGUCUUAGCCUGCUGCGGCUUUUGAUAGUUUUGUUUGUGUAUAAGCCGCUAUAAAACCUACUCUUGCUCCAGAGGUGUUGGCUAACUACAGACCUAUCUCUAAUCUUCCCUUCCUCUCUAAGAUCCUCGAAGACCAUCACAUCCACCAUGUUGGUCACUAGGGUUCUGUACCGAUUUUAUUUACCCUCUAUAUGCUUCCUGUGGGCGAUCUUAUCAGGAAACACCACAUAAACAUCCAUUGUUAUGCAGACAAUACUCAACUGUAUCUGUCGAUCAAACCAGAAGAGACCAACCAGCUUGUUAGACUUCAAGUCUUGAGACAUCAAAACUUGGUGAACGGCAACUUCCUGAUGCUAAAAACAGAAGUUAUCCCUUCCAAGUCAACUGUCACGUGAUACACCUUUUAUGGAUCGAAUUGUUCUGGUAGCCAGGAGCACCAUCAAGAAUCUUGGAGUUCUCUUCAACCAGGAUAUGUCCUUCAACUCUCAUAUAAAGGACUGCCUUUUUUCAUCUACUUAAUAUAUUGAAAAUCAGGAACUUCCUGCCUGAAAGUGAUGCAGAAAAAUUAGUGCGUACAACAUGCGUUUGAUACUUCUAGAUUGGAUUAUUGUAAUUCUUUGUUAUCAGGCUGCUCUUGUAAAUCUCUUAAGCCUCUCCAGUUGAUUCAGAUUGCUGCGGCACGUUUUUAUACGUAUGUAACAAGAACUAAGAAAAGGGAUCAUAUUAACUCCUGUAUUAACUUAUCUGCCUGUUAAAUCAAGAAUAGAAUGUAAGGUACUUCUCCUCACCUACAAGGCACUUGUUGGUGAGGCACAGUCUUCUUAAAGAGCUUGUAACGCCGUAUUGCCCUACAAGGCAGCUGCGCUCCAUAGAUGCUGGGUUACUUGUUGUUCCUAGGGUUUUAAAAAGUAGGAUGGGAGCCAGAGCCUUCAGUUAUCAAGAUCCUCUUUUGUGAAAUUUUAUUAAUUUCAUUUUGUAUAGCCCAAAAUCUCAAAUUACAAAUUUGCCUCGAAGGGCUUUACAGUCUGUACACAUACGACAUCCUCUGUCCCGAAACCCACCAUCGGCACAGCCAGCCAGCUUCCACUUUCAGUCCGGGGAGCAGAUUCGGUCAGCUCUUUUCAGAUAAAGCUUAAAACGUUCCUCUUUUAUAUUGCAUUUUUUAUUAGGGCUGGCUCAGGUUAGGCCGCACCAGCCCUUAGUUAAGCUGCUAUAGGCUGCCGGGGGACUUCUUAGGACACACCAAGCUCCUCUCUAACUCUCUCUUUCUACAAUAAUCCACGUUUUAUUAAUGUGCAUGACUAAUUCAGCUUCAUUCCAGGAGUUGUUUGUGCUUUCUCCCCUAGCAGGUCUCUGUAGAUCGUAGUUCCUUCUAGACCAGGGGUCUCAAACUCAAAUCAGCUGCGGGCCAGAUGCAGCCCACUUCAACCGAACGCGGGCCAGACUAGCGUCCGAACGGCAUGGUCGACAAUAACACAACUUAACACUCACUUUCAAAAGCAGUCAUUGAACCCCACCCUGGGGGAUCGGUCCGAAUGAGACUACAACACUAGUCCUCCUUUAACUCAGCGGGGGAGACCUAAGGUCAUGUGACCGUGGAAUUCCUUUAUAGCCAAACGUGAAGUUACGUGAAUCGAAGCUGCGUAGUAAUGGACGGAGACGCUCGUCGGUAACGUCAGAUGCUUCAUGUGUUGUUAGUGUGAGUCGUAAAGGAAAACUUUAUUAAACGAGCGAUGCUAACGGUUAGUCACAUGAUCACCUGCGCGAAAGAGGGCAGGAAACUGAACUUCACCCUCCUGCUCUCUGCACCUCGGCCGACACACACGACCCGCCCCCCAUGUCAGUCACAUGCAUGCCACGUUCACUGGACAAGCACACAGUAGGAAACCAGAACAUCAUAACAUGUCCCACACAGCAGCUGACAGUGGGGUUACAGUAUAAAACUUGCGGGCCGCACUAACAUUACACUUUAAUAUUAAGGAUGGGGCCACAAAAUAUCGUCCCGAGGGCCGCAAUUGGCCCGCGGGCCGCGAGUUUGAGACCCCUGUUCUAGACCCUUGUCCUGACACCUGCCGUGGCCCUGCUGACACCUGCUGCUGAUCAUCAUUAUUUUAAAUAUGAAUCAUAUUACUGUCAUCAUAAACCAACAUUACCCUCUUCUAAAGUCUUUGUGCUCCCCCUCCCCACAGGCUUCUGUGGAUGGUGAUCCUAUCUAAAGUGGUUGUCUCUGCCCCUGCAGUGGUCCUGCCGUGCGCCUGGCUUGCUACUCACAAUUAUUUGAAUCAUUUCUGUUAUAGGAAUUGAAUGUAUUCUACAUCUUUUACAUUGUUCAUUAUGUACACAUGACAUCAUUGUAGUCUGUCCAUCCUCUGACGUCCCUCCUCUGACGUUCUACCUAAGGGUCCUUUUGGCCCCCAUGGAAGGGUUUUUCAUUUUUUUGGAGAGUUUUUCCUCUGCUGAUGUGUGGGUUUCGGGACAGAGGAUGUCUUAUGUGUAUAGACUGUAAAGCCCUCUGAGGCAAAUUUGUAAUUUGUGAUUUUGGGCUAUACCAAAUAAAUAAAUUGAAUUGAAUGAGUUGUUAUGGUAUUUUGGGAAUAGUCCUGGUAUUUUGGGAAUAUUCCGGGACAGUCAAGCAAUCUCAAGUGUGCAAAUCAAUCAGUGUACCAAAUAAAUCAGUUUGAUAAAUCUGUUUCCCUGAUUAUCUCCUCAUGUGCGGUGUCAUUCCCCUGCCUGUUAUUGGUUUGCCACGUGCUUGUGUUUUGUUUCUAUGUCCCCAGUAGCCUUCGAGUCCCGCUCAUUGUCGUGCCUUCCUCAACUGGCACAGCUGUGUCUCAUCUCCCCUCAUCUCCACCAGUUAUAAGUACUCUGGUCUUCUUCGUUGCAGGUGCUGUUAACCUGCCUGGUAUCCCGGUCCCGAGAGUUUGUUUUUGUGCUUCCUGUGAGAUUCUGAAGUUUAACCUCCUUUCUUUUUCUAUGUUCCUGCCUUCCAUUGUCGAGCCUCGCGUUUCACGUGGUCAAAGUCCUCCAGCUUGUUGCUCGGAUAUUUACUGCUGUGUCGGGUACCUCAGGUGUCACACAGUCGAGCCGGCCUUCCCAUCUGCAGUCCCGCCACAUACACGGUCAAGCACACGGAGGCGCCUCCGUCAUCAUGUGGCAAGAUCUACGGAUGCGAAUAUUACAUUACAUGUCAUUUAGCUGACGCUUUUAUCCAAAGCGACUUACAAUAAGUGCAUUCAACCAUAGGGUACAAACUCAGAAGAACAAGAAACAAGAAAGUGCAAUGUCCUCAAAUAAGCCAAUUUACAAUUUGCUAUAGAUGAGUGGCGUUAUAAGUAAAAUUUUAAGUGCUACAAUUUGUUAGUCUUUUAGUCGAGGUAGAGUCUGAAGAGGUGUGUCUUUAGUUUGCGGCGGAAGAUGUGAAGGCUCUCUGCGGUCCUGGUGUCUUCAGAGAGCUCGUUCCACCAUUUCGGAGCAAGGACAGCAAAGAGUCGUGAUCUAGUCAAGUGUUUUGCUCUCAGUGAGGGAGGGACGAGCAGUUUUGCAGAUGCAGAGCGGAGAGUGCGGGUCGGGAUGUAGGGUUUUACCAUGUUCUGGAUGUAAGCUGGACCCGAUCCAUUUACAGCAUGGUAGGUGAGCACCAAUGUUUUUAACUGGAUGCGGGCAGCCACCGGUAGCCAGUGAAGAGAGCGGAGGAGUGGAGCAGUGUGGGAGAAUUUCGGAAGGUCGAGCUGCUGCAUUCUGGAUGAGCUGCAGAGGUCAAAUGGCGGCAGCAGGGAGACCUGCCAGGAGCGAGUUGCAGUAGUCCAGGCGUGAGAUGACAAGAGCCUGAAUCAGUACCUGGGCAGCCUUCUGAGUGAGAAGAGGACGUAUUCUCCUGAUGUUGUAGAGAGUUUAUCUACAGGAUUGUGUUGUCGCGGUGAUGUUGGGAGUCAGCGAGAGUUGGCUGUUGAGUGUGACGCCGAGGUUCUUAGCGGUCAAAGUGGGCGUUAGUACGGAGUUUCCAAAGUUGACUGUCAGGUCCUGGGUAAGCGAAUCUUUUCCGGGAAAGAGAAGUAGUUCAGUCUUGUCGGGGUUGAUUUUCAGGUGGUGGGCAGACAUCCACUGAGCGAUGUCAGUCAGACAGGCAGAGAUCCGUGCCGCCACCUGGGUGUCCGAGGGAGGGAAAAAGAGAAUUCGUUGUGUCAUCGGCAUAGGUGUGGUAGGAGAAGCCAUGCGAGCGAAAGACAGCGCCGAGAGAGUUGGUGUAGAGUGAGAAGAGAAGGGGACCUAGGACGGAACCCUGCGGUACUCCCGUAGUAAGAGGACAACGUUCCGACACAGAUCCUCUCCAGGUUACCCGGGAGGUGCGGCUGUCGAGGUAGGACGAGAGAAGGGAGAGAGCAGAGCCUGAGGCACCAAGUUUCUGAAGGGAGGAAAUAAGGAUCUGGUGGUUGACUGUGUCAAAUGCAGCAGAGAGGUCCAGAAGGAUGAGGACAGAGGAGAGAGAGGCGGCUCUAGCAGUGUGGAGUUGCUCUGAGAUAGCAAGGAGAGCAGUCUCUGUGGAAUGGCCUGCCUUGAAGCCUGACUGGUGGGGGUCAAGGAGGUUGUUAUGGUGGAGAUAGGAGGAGAGGUCCUAAAGAUCGCACGUUCAAGAGUUUUGGACAAAAAGGGAAGACGAGAGACCGGUCUGCAGUUGUUUUCUUCACAAGGGUUGAGGGUAGGUUUCUUCAGGAGAGGGUUAACUCUUGCCUCCUUCAGAGAAUUGGGAAAACAGCCAGAUAACAGAGCAUUAUUGAUGAGACAGGUGAGGAAAGGAAGGUCAGGUGCGAUAGAUUGUAGAAGAUGUGAUGGAAUGGGGUCAAGAGGGCAGGUGGUCGGAUGGGCAGAGGUUACUAGGGUAAGAAUUUGGUUAGGAGACGGGGGUAAAAGAGGAAAGUAAGGGUGAUAGAGGUGAAGCCAGUGGGAUGCAAGAAGUAGGAGGUGGGUUUGAUAAAGGAGCGUAUGUCAGCUAUUUACUUUGUAAAGUAGUUGACAAAGUCACCCGGAAGAAGGGUUGGACGGGGAGGAGGACUAGGGGGUUCAAGGAGGUUGGAGAAGAUCGAGAAGAGUUUUUUGGUGUUAGAAAAUGAAGAUUCGAUUCUGGAUUGGUAGAAAGAGCUUUUGGAAGCAGAAAUAGAAGCAGAAAAAGAGGAGAGAAGAGAUUGAAAUUUAAGCAGGUCGUCAGGUCGUUUAUAUUUACGCAAUCUCCUUUCCGAUGCUCGCAUGGUGGCUCUAAUGGCACGCACCGGUUGAGACAGCCACGGAGCCGGAGGGGAUUUGCCAGUCCGCCGGGUCGUCAGAGGGCAGAGAGAGUCUAGAGAGGAGGAAAGAGUUGAGAGGAGAGUCUCAGCAGCAGCGUUCGGAUGCAAGAGUGAGAAGGAGUCGGUGAAAGAGAGAGCUGAUAGAACAGAGGAUGCUAGGGAGGAGCGAGAGAGGGAGCGAAUGUUGCGACAAACAGGUACAGAGUUAGUCAAUGGGGUAGGGUUGUUAGUUAUAGAGCGUAAGAGAUGAUGAAGUGGUCAGACACAUGAAGUGGAGUUACAGAGAGGUCAUUGGUAGAGCAGUUUCUAGUAAAGAUUUAGUCAAGGUGAUUGCCGGCUUUGUGAGUAGGAGGAGAGGGACUGAGUGACAGAGCGAAAGAAGAAAGUAGGUGUAAGAGGUCAGAUGACUUCUCUGUCUGGAUGUUGAAGUCACCCAGGAGGAUAAGCGGAGGGCCAUUUUCAGGGAAGUUUGACAGGAGAAUGUCCAGUUCUUCCAAGAAAUGACCCAAGGAGCCUGGCGGACAGUAAAGGACAACAAUGGUUAAUUGCACCGGGCGAGUAACUGUUACAGCAUGGAAUUCGAAAGACAGUGAGGUGGAUGGUGGAAGAGGGUAAAGAGUAAAGCUCCAUUUGGGUGAAAUAAGUAGACCUGUGCCACCACCCCUACCAGUGGGCCUGGGUGUGUGGCUGAAGGAGAAGGCGGCGGAGAGGGCGGAUGUGUUCUCCGGUGUGAUCCAGGUCUCAGUGAGAGCGAGGAAGUCAAGCGACUGCUGGAUAGCGAAGCCGGAGAUGAAGUCUGCCUUGCGAGUAGCUGACUGGCAGUUCCAGAGGCCUCCUGUGACGAGGUGCUGGACAUGAGUGGAGCGGGUGGGAUAGGUGAGAGGGGAAAGGUUAAGAUAGAGAGCGGAUCUGGCCCGAGGCCUGUAGUAUCUGCGGGAAGAGGUUCGGUAUGGGUAAAGGGGUCAAACACAUAAUUAAAACUAGAAGAAGGCGCAGCAUUCAGCCGCCCGGAAGACCCCACGAAAGACUCCUUAGUCUUUGUCCUGCUUGUCUUGACUCCCACGAAAGACUCCUUAGUCUUUGUCCUGCUUGUCUUGACUCCCACAAAAGACUCCUUAGUCUUUGUCCUGCUUGUCUUCGUGCUGCGAGGAUAAGCUAACGCUUCACUCAAUCUGUAGUUAAAUACUCCCUCGUUAGUGGAAGACGGCUGAGCUGACCACUCCCCCGUCGUUUCGGAGACAAAAGGUUGAUUGGCCUCGACAGAAACUCAUCAAAAUGCAAAACACCAAUUGUUUGACACUCAUAAGUGAACAAUCACCAUGUGGCGUUUUGACAAACUGGGAGUUUAAGGAUUCAAGUCUUAUUUGAUUCAGAAGUGAAGACAAAACACACUUAGAUCAGGUCAAACCUAGCAGAGUUAGGAGGACACACUGGCAGUUAAUAGUACAGUCUAGAGCACCAUCUGGCAAUAAAAAAGUGAAAGAGUUUAAGCAAACCAAGAUAACCUCAAACAGAGAGAACAGGCAGUAAAAUGGCAAGAACUAAAGCAAAUCAGCAAUCAAAUUAACUUAAGACACUAGAAUCAAAAACAAAUUUAGCAGACUAGCUUGGUUUAAAGAAAAAGAUACUUAGUCCGAUUUCAGGUCGACUGGAUGUCUGAUGCCCUUGGAGAAGAGAUGCACAAAUAUAAUAAAACGAGCAAUCGGUUUCAGAACUAUACAUGGCUAUUGUGCAAGUGAGAUGUCCUGACAGGAGUGUAAAUUAGGCUUCAGUCUGAGGAGGUCAAAAAUUGAAGAAAAACUGGGUUAGGCACAGUAAAUUUCAUUUCACAUAAAAAUACUGUGGGUCUGUUUAGGGAGGAACCACAGUCCUGACAAAGCUCUGCGAUGUAGUGUUUCCGUAGUAACUUUGGUGCAAUGCAGAUCUAGUACUUGAAUGGAGCACCAAGAGUCCAGUUGCACUGGUUUGUAUGUCUUUGUGUUUUUGAUGAUAGAAGGUGAAGCAGACUCUGUCAUGUAGAACUAAUGGACAGGUGAGGCUGAGAAUGAGGAGUUGCCGAUCCCAAUUCCAACCCCACCUCAAAAAAAGAGAAAAAAAAAUCACACAACUCAGAUCAGCACUGACAGUACAGACUUGCACACGCACACAAUCACAGACAAAAAAAAAGAGAAAGUAGGAAUAAGCGGUGAGCCAGUAAUCAGAGAACACAUCAGCAGCUUAAUCAGCAUUGCUUGUCUGAUGAGGAAGAACACUUGUGGUUUUUUUGUGGGCAGGAGCUUUCAUUAAUCAUCCUCAAAAGAAACAGCACUCCACCACAACUUUAGUUGGAGGACCCUGUUUUUUUCCUCUGGAGGAAAAAGAACAGAACAAUUGGAAGAAGAAAGGGGGUGGGGGGAAAUCCAUGCGCUUUUUCAAUCAGUCCAAUCAGCUUUGGUCAACUUCAGUGUCCAGAAGUUUAAUGCAUCAAGUGAACACCAGACUACUGUGCGGUAGUGGUUUGAGUGUUCCUUUCAUACUAACCAUACCUUAUAUCUGUAAAAAGUUAUUUUAAUUUGUACUUGUAUUGGUUAUAGAAAGCUUUCCUUAGACCCUUACGCUCUUUAGCUUUAUUCUUGUUAUAGUUUUAUUCUAACUUUGAUUUGAUGGAGGGCAGGUUGUAAAUUGGGGAGAGAGAGUCAUGCAACAAUAGUCACAAGUUCUGAUGUUAAGGAAAUCAAAGUCAUAUGGCAUGAUUUAUUCAUAUGGAAUUCAUUUUUGUGGGGAUUUUUUAACGCUAUGUUCACGAACGGUGCCCAUUUAUGCAACACACAAGUCAGAGCUGGUCAGACAGAGUCAGAACCUAAAUUAUUCUCAUCAUGAAUGCUUCGAUUUAUUUUGAAGCAUUCCUGGCAACAAUAAGCACCAAACCACUUAGAAAUACUCAACACCACUUUAACUAUGGUAAUAUUGGUAAAUUAAAAAUACUAUGUAAAUUGUUCGUAUGGCGGUGUAGAAGCUUUUCAGUCCGUCGAAAAUAAAUUCUAUAGAGGAAAACAACACACCAAAUAUUACAUUACAGGUCAUUUUGCUGACUCUUUUAUCCAAAGCGACUUACAUUGCAUUUUUAACCCAUGGCUUUUAAAUUUUUGCCCAGGGAGCUAUUAGGUUAGGUGUCUUGCUCAGGGACACUUCGACAUGGGACAUGGAGCAGCCGGGGCUCAAACUGCCAACCUUGCAGUUCCCAACACACCCUCUCUACCCCUGCGCCACGUCAACCCCGCAUCAUCAAUAGCAGAUCGCCCUGAUUCUAGUGGUAUAAGUGUGUUUCUCUCAGACAAAGCCUGCCGAAGUUUUUCGCGAAACAACCACAAAACCAUUGCAGCAAAAACAAUAGAAGUUUCUCCAAGCAGACAUAGAUAUCAAACCAUAGCCGGUUUAAUCAUGCUCAUAGCUAGGCUUGGUUAACCUUGUUUUCAACAUCAGAGCCCUGGCUACAAUAAGCCCUAAACUACUUAAAAAUACUCCAAACACAACUGUAGUGGGUGUGGUAAGAGUAAGAACAUAUUCCAUGCGUUGAUUACAGUGAUGCAAGUAUCAUUUCGCUCCUCACAAACCAUGCCAAAAUUCCAGUACAAAACCCAUCAAGCCAUGUAAGCGAAAACAUCCUAAAUGCCUUACCUUUGUUGUUUUACACAGACAUUAGGCGCAUUCAGGCUGAUUAAAGGAAGCCAUAGAGUGGUGGAAUGACGCAAAUCGGCCGAUAUGAACUCAACUUCUAAAAAAUGAAGAAUCUGAGCCAGCCGUUCUGACGUGAGGCCUUCACAAAAGCCUUCUGUAGAGUAGUCUAUCCUUGCUCUAUCAACUUGAAACUUUACAUGCGUACUGUCCACAAUUCGGGUAGAUGUGUUUUUAUACGUUUAAAGCUUUAUGGAAUUUAUAGGGCAGUUUUGUGACAUUUUUUGAGGCACAUCUCAAAAUUCUAACUUUUUUUGUGUUUAAUAUUGAUAUAUUGUUUUUAACAGUAACAUAUAGACCAGGGGUAGGCCAACUUUUUGGCUCAGGGGCCACAUUGACUUUCAAAAUUUGACAAACGGGCCGGCCAGUAUCAGAUAGAGUGUUCAAUCCAUCCAUCGUCAAACCGCUUAUCCUGCACACAGGGUCGCAGGGGGGCUGGAGUCCUUCGGGCGAUAGACGGGGUACACCCUGGAUUGGUCGCCAGCCAAUCGCAUGGCUAACACAGAGACAUACAACCAUUCAUACUCACACAUCUACGGGCAAUUUAAAGUCCCCAAUUAACCUGAUCCCCAGAGCAUGUCUUUGGACUGUGGGAGGAAGCCCGUACCACGCAGACACGGGGAGAACAUGCACGGGCGGAGUCGAACCCAGGACCUUCUUGCUGUGAGGCGACAGUGCUAACCACCACACCACCGUGGCGCUCAGAUAGCGUUCAAUUCCAAGUCAACUUGGCUUUGUAGGCUCACUCUCUCAUUUGUGUACAUUUCAUGCACAAACUGAUCUUUCCCUUGUAGCUUCAUGUUCAGCUCAUUCAUGUGUCAGUAUGUCCACAGCAAAAGCAAAAUCACAAAGCCAAUCUGAGUUAAGAAACAUCAAUGCUGGUCUUUUGCCGUCAUCGUGCGGAGAAGUGUUACAGCGGUCUUUACUAUAUUUUAUAUUUCAUAAUACUCGGCGGGCCCGGAUCAAAACGCCCAACGGGCUGGAUCAGGCCUGUGGGCCGUAGUUUGCCUACCCUUGAUAUGGACUGAUUGUCACACAUUUUAGCACUCACAGGGCUUCUUCUUUAUCCCCACAAAAACAAAUUGUACAAGUAAACAAUGUAUUUCCAGAGCUAUUAAACUUUUUUAUCAUGGGUGUGCCAUUUUCGGAGCAGAUGCUAUAAAAGAGGCUAAUGUUUAAAAGGUGUGGAAAACAACAACAACAAAUCUGCUAUAAUAUUAAAUGGCCUUUAGAAAGUAAAACCCACUCUGUCAAAUCAAGGUGGAUCAAGGCAGUUUCAUCUGUACCCCCACAGUCUGAGGAGCAUUAGACUUUCAGGACACGCACGCACAAGAUGCAAUAAUCUGAUUCAACCAGGGAGAAGGAUGUAAUUAAUAUCACAGUGUUAUUUAAUUAAAACCUGAGCAAGAGUAAAAUAAAGCCACUGAUUAUUGUCGUUUGUGAAUGAUCACACAGCCCAAUUUCAAUACAGCACAACUUCAAAAGCGAUUGUCUUCAAGAAUAUACAGGUAUUAAUUCUGAACGUUUUUUUUCUCCCAUCCGUAAAAUUGUAUUAUAUUCAGUUUCUUAUAAGAUGUGGAAUGCAUCCUCAUUUACAUUUCAUAUAUCAGUUAGUAAGGGAGGCUACAAUUUUUCUAGAACUGCUCAUGGACCAAUUUAAGAAUAACAUGAGGCCUAAUAUUAAUAUUCCUGCUGUAUAAAACGCAGCCCACAUAAACACUCCGAAAAUGUAAGAUGUGAUUUUUUGAAGUGGAUCUGAGGGAAAGCACUCUUCCACAAGCUUGUGUUCAUACUUUUGGCUGGAGUGCGUACCAAUCUGCAAUUUGGCUCAGAGAGAGGCUCAUUAGAGAAUACCGUUGCGUUACAUUUAGCUGACACUUUUAUCCAAAGCGACUUACAUUACAUUUUUUUAACCCAUGGCUUUUUACAUUUUUGCCCAGGGAGCAAUUAGGGGUGAGGUGUCUUGCUCAGGGACACUUCGACAUGGAAGCCGGGACUCAAACCACCAACCUUGCAGUUCCACGCGCACCCUUUCUACCCCUGCGCCACGACUCCCCACUACCUUUGCAAAAGGUGCAAUAUAUUGUUUUAUACAAGAGAAUCAUAACAAGACUUGUUAUACUGGGACCGAGGUAGUUUUACAGAGACUGUAGUUAAAAUGAGAAAAAAAUAUAUCUUUUGAAAAACAAAGCAUGUUAAAUCUUCUAUUAUGAAGCCUACAAAAAAGUUUCCCCUUUAAAACCAAAAGUAAUUAUAAAUAUAUAAGUUUGUGUGGAUGGAUAUGACUAGACACCCAAUAACUUCUUUAUAAAGUCCAGCUGAAGUUUAUCUCAGCUUGUGUGUUUGGAAAAAUCCUGCAAUAUGGCUUCUUACGCAACCCCCCCCCAAUUGAAAUGUCAAUCCAACCCUACUGCCAAAUUACUCACAUAGUUGCUUUCUAUCAGGCUAACGUCUUGAUUUAGACACCAACCACUUCUGUUCCAAUUUAAGGAUGUGCAACACUGUAAUGUAGAAGAACCUGUUCCAAACAAGGGGCAGCAUUCCACCUCUUCUAUCGGGUCUGUGGUGGAGGGGCGUGGUUAGCUCAGCUGCAGGGGGGAGAGCGGGGGAGUGGUUCAGGGGACGGUGCUGGUAGGUGAGGAGUAACCAGGUGUAAAUGAUCUGCACUGAUUGUCUCCUACAUAAGCAGUGAGCAGGAUCCAGGUCGGGGGAACGUGAGCCGAGCAGAGCGGAGUGGAGCCUGAGAGCAGAGCACGAGAGCGGAGCGGAGCCGGACAACGCAAAACCGACCACGCACAUAGACCGACCUCAUUCCUGCUCACUGCCUUCCCCUUUUGGACAAUAAAGACUGGUUACCCUCAUCCUGUGUCCGUGCGUCUUUACAAGAACCCGCCGGUGGUAGCGCUAUCACGGCUACAGGGUCCAUUUAAUAUAAAUGCACAAUCAUAAGUUCUAGCCAGAGGUUACUUUUGGCACACUAAGAUUGCUGACAGUGUGAUGAGGGUGGUCACUUUGCUGUUGUCGAUGGUGACAGUGUGAUCAAUAGCAGGGUAUUUAGACUUUUCCGGGCCCCCGCUUAAGGUUAUGGAAGCGACACUAGUGCAUGCAAAUGCAUGCAGGACUGAAUGAUGAGUUUUUUCUUUGUACAUCAGAUGCUCAUGCCAAUAACGAUUCUCUUUAAUGGCCAUCUUUUUACACCCCACCCCCCCUUCCCUCCCCAAGUUACAGUGUGAUAAUAAAUCUUGCACGUACAGUGCAGCAACUUAGCUUGUCCCUAUUAUGUAACAAAACCCCAUACUCUGUCUGAAGUCAAUGCCUCCUUCUAUUGAUUGCAUGUCCUGUGAGGAAAAGUUAUAAUAGUAAUCAUCAUUUAAGCAGAGACCUGAGGGCCCCUGAAUAAAAUACAGCCUUCAGCUCCACUUUUCUGCCCGUGGACAGCACAGGGGACCAGUAAAUAUUGAUCCCCAGAAAAUAUCCACAUGCCCACUUAUUGAGCCCAUGUGUUUGCUUUUAAAUGGUGCAACGCAGAUCUGCAAUAAGGUUUCCUUCUUCAUCAUUCAGCUGAUGUUUAUCUUUUUUUUCCCGAGAGACUUUUGAUGAGGCAAAAUUUAAUUAAAAAUCUGAUUAAAACUCUUCCUCAACACACCACCGAAUGUUAUAAAAAGGGAGAAGCAACUCAGCCAUAUUGACCAUCACACUCUCGCUCUGAUGUUCUAUAAAAGUGAUUUUCCGACUUUUAAGUAGGGAAGCCUUCGAGGAGCCCCUUGUGGCUGAGGUCGAAUCAUUCAAGUACUCUUGCCCUCUUCAUUUUGACUUUUGGUUUCAUGAGGGAGGUGUGUGCUGAAUUCCGGGUGAAAUCCGAGAGCCAUCGCUGACCUUGAGUUCAGCCAUUACUACUCCCUCGCCAGCCCCAUAUAACCCACAUUUACUAUAGCUGCUUCAUAUUCAUAGCACAGUGCAAUCCUCAGCACAUAAAUAAGGCAUUCCUAUGAAACACUGCAAUAAUAACUGACUUUCAUGUUGGCCAAACCUCAACCCAUGACCUCUCUUCAGGGCUCAGCGUGUGGUUUUCAUGCAUAAAGAGGGCUUCUACCGCCCAGCUAGGGAGUCCUGGAGUUAGCACACAACCGUAUUGUGUGUGCUGUUUGGGAGGUUCUAACAGUACAAUAUGAAGGCAUUUUAGCUCGAGAAAUCAGAAUUACUUUGCUUGUGAGUAAUUUCUUAUACUCUUGGUCAGUCCAUUGGGUUUACCUCAACAUAUUAAUUUAGUUUUGUUGUAAAAAAAUAGCAGUUCAUGGACAUCUGUGAAACCCCGCAAACAUGAUCCGACCUUUUAUUGUUUUAAAAAUCUCAAAACCAACUCCAGUCUUAUAUCUCAAGUUACCGUCAGUAAACAAUGAACCAAAAAUGUCAAUCCCAAAUAUCUAUUGCACGGUGUUCAUUUUAGGACAUCCUCAGAUCUCAGAUAUAAAUUGUCAGACUCAAAAGAAAAGGCGUCAGGUCCCAGACCAAAAGUCGUCAGACUCAGGCGAAACGACUUCAGUCUCAGAAAAACCUCUGUCAUCCUCACGCAAAACUCUGUCAAACCAAACGCCGUCAUCCUCACGCAAAACUCCGUCAAACCAAACGCCGUCAUCCACACAAAACUCCCUAUGAUGACGUAUUAUGAUUCUUCAGCAAAGUUUGUUUGUAGUAUCCAUGGCAAAUGGAGGACUAAACAUGGGUGUACUUUACGAAUGAACUAGCUUGCAUAAAACAACUACUUCGUAAGUAAGUUUUUCUUGCUGUACCAGUUAGGAGCAACACCACAGCGGUAUUAACUGUAAAAGCUGCUACUUUAGCUAAUUCAGAAAGCUAGUCAACAGCUCCCUCAUCUAGCUCUGACAAGUUUAUUUCUAAGAAUGAUUGAUUGAGGAAAAAUUAUGCCUUUUGGUUUGACAGAGUUUUUUAGAGGAUGACGUUGUUUGGUUUGACAGAGGUUUUUCUGAGACUGAAGCCGUUUCGCCCGAGUCUGACGACUUUUGGUUUGAGUCUGAGAUCUGAGGAUGUCCUAAAAUGAACACCGUACUAUUGGCUACCCCUUAAACCCAGAAAUAUAGCCCCUUUCUACCAUGUGUCUCCAAAACUGUAUCCAUUGUACAAUUAUACAGGGGAUAUGGGUUGGUUUGACAUUCCAGAUUUUUGCUAACCUUGCAAAAGUAGCAAAAAUAUAUAAUUUUACAAAGCUAAAUUAUAGUAAAACAAACAUACGGUAACUGAAGCCAUCUGCAUCUUUAAAGGAAGAAACCAACUCCUUUUCCCGCUCAAUUAAGUGAACGGUGGUCUAUCUUCAAAGUGGAAGUGCAAACAUGGAAACUUGUAGAAAUGUAGGUUUUAGUGCAGGGGGAGGGAAACCGAGCAAGCAUAUUCACACAGAAAAUGAACAUGCCAUUAAUUCAAUAUCUCAAAGUUACUGCUGACAUCUCAUUAUAUCUAUGGGCACCCAUCCACACCAACGAGCACACCGAAUAACACAUAACGUUGUUCACUGCACUUACCUAUUUUCCUACGUCUCAACAGAGCCCAGGCUCUUGCGGCCGAGAGGAGUUAAUGAUGCCAACCUGUCUACACUCUCCUGCAUUAAGAUACUGAUUAAGGUUUCGCUAUUAUGUAUUAAUUGUGUAUCCUCUUAAACCACAUUUUAUAUAAUGUUCAUAUAUAAAACCACCUUGGCUUCAUCUUUUUUUGCUUUACCUUCAGUUAUGAGUCUCAUUGUUUUAGAUGUACCAAGUUGUAUUUGCUGAAAAACGCUGUACAAGCAUCGGAGGGGAGUGCUGCAAAGUAUUGUUGAAUAUCACAUCAACAUGACAAAAUGUUUUCCCAGAGUGACAUUGAUUAAAGUAAUCUAUCCCACAUUCCUGACUUUGCAGGAUGAAAAAAUACACAUUCAGCAGACUGUCUCUAUCUCAAAAAAAGGAUAGCGACUCGUGUUAUUUACUGUAAUAAUUUGUUUUGGUGUAUGCCAUGUUUUUGAGGAUGGGAGAAAUGCAGAGAAGUGGUUCCUCUGUCUUAGCUUGUAUUCAUGCUCUGUGCCAUGCACAGUGAUCAUAAACAUUGGAAUUACUAAAAGCCGUAGUUUGCUUUUGAGGGCUGGGCAGACAAUCACUCAGAGAAAAAGAUAAGCAUGAAGAAAACUCCCAAAGUUGAGUUUUACCUUGUGUCACAAUGUGAUCACUUUUCAUGUGCAUGACUCCAUUCUAAUUUAGUUAAGUCUACAUCAUAAUAGUACAUAUUAUUGAUUGGUAUAUAGUCCAAAUCACAGACGGUAUACAAAAAAGUGGACUAAUGGCCCAUUGGGGGCCAUUAGAUGGAAUGUAGCUUCUGAAACGGCUUCACUUUCAAGAAUUGGGUUUCACCGCCCCAAUGUUAUGGAUUGACACAUUUAUGGAUAUUCAGAACUGAUAUAAACAUUUCUAAGUUAGGGUCAAGUUUUGUUCCUCAUCUUGUGCCAUUUUUCGUUAAUUCUUGAUAACCACAAUUCAGUUUCUUAUCUAACUUCAAUCAGAGUCAAUUCAUCCGAAUUUGUCUUAGUUUCUAUGCGUGUGUGUUUCAAAAGUGUUUUGAUUUCUGAAAUAAGAUUGAUCCAUUUCUGAGCUCCUACAUGUUCCAUGAGGCCCGUACAUAGUAUGAUCUGUGUACUUGCUGAGCAGGAGAGUGAAUGUGGAAGACAAGGGGGAGAAGACACUGAGGAAGAAGGAUUCAUGAAUAAUAAUGCAUACUGGGGCCCGGACACCGGCUGCGAGACUGCUGGUGCAGGAUGAAUCCAUACAGUAACCCUCAUCUUUCGGGGGCCUUUGCUUCCCAAAGCCCGUGUCAUUUCUAAUAUUUUAUAGAUGCAAAACAGAGAAAAACAUCAAUCAGAAAUGUGCCACUGUCUACAAGUCCUGCGAAUGCUCUGUUUCAAUCCGAGUGAAAGACGACAUGCUGCAAUGCGCAGAGCGUACCCUGCAGAGACAUCUGUCAUUCGACUACAACCCCUCAUGCAACACUAAUGCCCCACUUCUGGCUUUGUUCAACUUGUUCAACUAGCGGCAGUAGAAUAAAGAUCUGUUUAUUGAUUGAUAAAAGUCUGACAUAAAGGCUGCCUGCAGAUAUCCAUGAGCUUUACAUGUUUAUUGGACUGUCAAUGUUUAAGGGCCAACUUAUGUGCACAUCAAAUCACAUUUUACAAUCCACGUGAUCAACCCCAAACUGUAAAAUAACAAAAUCCAUUUACCUCUACAGGAAUGCGAGAGAACCCGGAGGUGUAAGGUGAACAUCUUUUAGAACAGGGCCUCGUCCAGACAUUCCGAGUUCACCCAGACAACGCGCUUUGUUUACCAGGGAUAUUUGCCAGUUUUCCUCCAUCCUCUGACUCAACUCACCACCAGAUCAAUUGACGGCUCCACCUCUCUCUUCACCUGAGUGCAGAGGAAACAUGCAAUCUCAUGAUCAGACGAUACAAUUAUAAUAAACUAAAAACAACACGUACUUUUCUUGAUUUGGCUUAUGUUUUAUAGUAUCUUUUCUGGACAGAAACAUGUUUUAUCACAGAACAAUGUGAUCUUGACUGGCUUCAUUUUGGUAAAGUAAACAAAGUGUUUUUUUUAAAUGAAGAACACAUUCAACCUGAUUCAUACUAAGUCUCAGCUUAGUCUGCAACCGGACCAAGAGAGGGUCGACAACCCUUCACAUUUAAUGACACACAAACAUUCACAUUGGUAAAGUGCAGAAUACAGUUUCCUGCUGAUGGCGGCCGAACAAAUAACGGGUGAAGAUUUUGUGUCUUGCUCAAGGGCACCUCAACUUUAGGUGUCAGGGUCUUGGCUGUGCUCCUCCAACUAAUUACAUUACAUGUCAUUUAGCUGACGCUUUUAUUCAAAGCGACUUACAAUAAGUGCAUGUCAACCAUAAGGAUACAAACUCAAAAGAACAAGAAACAAGAAAGUGCAAUUUCAUUAAAUAAGCCGAUUUACAACUUACUAUAGAUAAGAGCCAUUAUUAUAAGUACAAUUUAAGUGCUACCAAUUGUUAGUCUUUUAAGUCGAGGUAUAGUCUAAUUGAACAGCGCAGUUGGAAUUCCUCCACCAAUCAAGCUCCAGGCUUGAUAUUCUCCAGCCCUCCACUCAUUCCUUGCCAGAUCGUCAGUUCACAAACCUGGAACUAAUGCUACGGCUAAAAAGUGCAGCAAUCCCUGCAACCAGGUAACGUUUUUAGUCCGUCUCAGCCUCAGGUUCUCUGCGCCACUAGAUUCCCCGCAACGUGCAUUCUGGACUCAGCCUGCUCCACCCUGCCCACCAUUCCUCCAGCCUGCUCACAACAUUGCAGCCUCUGGUUCUUUAUUAUAAAGAAUGUUGAACCUUUUCUGCUUUGUGUUCUGCUCUUGGGUCCAGCACCACAACCACCACUACAAACACUAACCAUUAGUAAUUAGUCAUUUUUCAUCAAGUGCAGUCAUUUUGCUUUUUUAAGUGGCACUCAUUUUCACUGUAGGUUAAUUAUUUCCUUCAGUUCAGGGGAAUUUUGAUUCUUGUUUCCAGAGUAAAAACAUCGUCUUUCAUCACUGGUAAGAAAGAUAGUUCCAAGUGUAAAAGGCUUACUUUCAUUUUAAAAACUGCAAAAAUACUGGGGACAAUAGAAAAUACCGCAGUUGAGUUUGGAGCUGAAUACACAGGCACACUUUACACACACUGUCACACAUACAGUAUAUUGCUACAUAGUUGCAGCUACCAUCAGAGCUCCAGACUUUGCUACACAUCCUGAAUAAACAUGACCUACAUACCCUUCCAGUGGGGUGAAAGUAUGCUCCAUCACUGUCUUCAAAUACUCAGCAAAGCACCAUAUCAUGAAACAAUCCCUGUGUGUCAUUACAUUGUCGUCACAUUUGUAUCUAUUGAGGCCUCUACUAGUGCAAACAUUGGCAUCUCUUUUUGCUCUAUGAUGGAUUACUUCUUGACUGACAGUAGCAUGCCUGUGAAAGAGGCAGCACCAGAGGCAAUUAUUGCUCUUACAGUCUGGCAAAUGUCAGGAUUUGGUGUCAAAGUAACAAAUCGUUGCUGAGCAGCUGCUUAGAGGCAGGGUAGAAAGUCAUGACAUCUAACCAAAGGCCCCAAAACUGCAAUUUGCAGAGAUGUCCAAGUUUCAUGUGACAAUUGUUGACCUGUUGACUCAGGGCCGCAGUGCUUGUUCCGCUACCUAUAUAGGACUGAAAUGGUUUUCAGUUUUUUUUAAAUAUUAGGUUAAAGACUGUUUGAAAUACAUUGUACAAAGAAGAAACCCAAAUGAAACCAUUCUUUGCAUAAUUGAUUUCGUCAAAUGCUUGUCACUAUUGUGAGAUCGACUGUUGAAUCAGGUUCCUUAGAUCAACAACUAUUCAUGGUCAAUCCGAAAGAACAUCAUCACGUCUGACGAGACGAGUAAAACGAGAAAUAAGGGGAUGGUGGCUGGAUUUGCAAGCAAGCCAUAGCAUUCAGUCUGACAAAUACACGGUCACAUAUCAAAAACUUUUCUUCUAACAUGUUAAUGGAGGUAUCUAAAACACUAUUAAGUAUAUAUAUUUUCUCAGCCCUUCACCGAUCCUUUUGAAACAAAUAUCCUAUCAUCAAAUCCAUUCACAUCACUUCAUAUAUUGUGGGAUGUUUACAACUUUUCUUCCGUUUCUUUUAUUCCGAUUUGAAAAAUAAGGAAAGUAUUUCCAGUCGGCCACGACAUUGAUUCAAUUAUUUUAUUUUCACACCAUGCUUAAUAAUAAAAAAAAGCAAUGUGGUUGUGUAAGUCACAUGAGGGUUAUUUUUUAACCUCCAAGGUUGGGUUUUUCACAACCUUGUGUCUCUGGAGAGUCACUGGUGGUUAAAGAGAAAUCCUUUACUGGGAAGGCCAUUUCCAGCCAAGACCACAUAGGUCUUGUGAAAAGUGUAAGGAAUGGGCUGCUGGGACAUGACGGUCACCUGACUAGAGGGCUUUGCCAAUUGGGUAGUUGGCGGUGUUGUGUCCAACACUGUUGCUGCCCCAACCCCAACAAUAGCCAGAUCCCAGUCGUUUUUAUCCACCAUGGCCAGAAUUUCAGUAUGUAAGUGCCCAUUCUAGUUAAACUACUGUGAUCCGAAGUUGUGAGGCACCAGAAAUACAAAAUCACUAAUGUUAAGAAACGUGCGAAGAUAACUUAAUCCCUCUCUGUUAUUGUGGAGAAAACACAUUAGCAGAUUAUGUGUGUAAUCAUUUAGAAAACCAUCAAACAGUUUCCUAAAAUACACAGACUGUGGCGAUUUCUGUUGCUCUCCUUCAACCAAAAGAAGAUGUUGAAUUGAAUUAGAGACUCCACCGGCUGUAAUAUUGUCUGCAAAAAUCUGACCCAGUGAGACCUUGUGGUACACUGGGAAGAAACCCUCACCCUAAAGAUGUGUAACAAGGCAGAAAUUGGUAAUGUAUGUUAUUCUUUAAUCUGGAAGACUUAGUCAUCAACAACAUUUUUUUCUCUCAGUUGGGGCCUUGUUCACUCAACCUAAACAGACAUGCCUACCAUCACUCGCCUUGUGUCAUUAAAUUUGCCACGGCCUCCUCUAAAGACAUCUGUCACUGUUGCUGCAAAAACUUUACUGCAAAUGUCUUGUAUUGUGCAGAUGUAAUACACAAUCUCUGAUAUACAACACAUACUUCAUCUGUUGAUAACCUCCUCUGUGUUACCUGCAUAUUAUUUACCAAGGACAGCCUUUCGCUUUCUGUCAGGAGGCACCGAGUAGACCUUUUUCCAUGAACAGUAACUUAAGUUUAGGAUUAUGAUGUGAUGUGGUAAUGAUCUUCCCCCACAGCAGUCACAUGUGUGAGGCUGUUCUGUGGUCUGGCCGAGCACAGGUGACAGCUCCAUAUCCAAAUGAGAGACUUAACACAGGCACAGAUUGGUGUCAUUUUCAAGAGGCCUCUUUUUCAAUAAGGGUACCAUAAAACACAAUUGGACACAUCAUCAUUUAAAUUCGUUCCACUGCGUGGAGUAACAACAAAACCUACAGAAACACAUGUGGUUAGUUUUCAAACGUAAUAAUCAGAUUUUGUGGCGUGUAUCUCUGGUAUGCAUAACUAAAGAGGGAAAAAAAGUCAUGACCCCUCUACCAGGAAGUUCAUCUAGAGUCAUGGCAUGUCAUGGAAAGGGAGGAAUUAUAUUAUGACAACUUGCACAGGCCUGCUUUGAAAAGCCAGCUCGUGACCCUCUUGACCUCCAGCAUAUCACCUCUGCCAGAGCUGGCCAUGGUGAUUUAUCAGCAUAAAAAAAAAACGCAAAGUGUGACGACACUGAGGGCCGGGGCUUAAGCGGUGCGGCUGAUGGGUGUAACAGAUACUGUCCCAUUGGAAGUUUCUCCAGAUCUCAGAGAGGCCAUUAGUGUUGUUUUGAACUCUCAGCCCCAGCAUGUUAAAUGAUACAAGCUUUCAGAGAGACUGGUGACCACAGUAAAGAUAGUGACAACAUGACAUCCUUUCUCCUGGAUGGUAUGUCCUGCGUCUCCGUGGUAGCACAAUCUUGACAGAUGGUGAAAGGAACAAUAGAGCAAGUGAUGUGCUGGUUCACCUAUGUAGUCUGCCUGAGGCUGUUGCUGGUUCGUGUGAGAAAUUCCACAAUGCUUUGCAUCUUUCAUCAAACGUUUCACCCCACAUUUUGGUCCAAGAAUUCCAUGGCAACUUGACAACGUUGUUUUUAUGAGAAAAAAAGGUUAAAAUACAAUAUUAGCUCAAUUUCAAAGGGGUGGGGAAGGUAUUUUAAAGCUGAAAGUGGUGAAGCUACAAGCUACUCAUUGAAAUUGGUUAUGCUGGAGGACACUACACUGUUGUUCUGUGCCAGCAGAAACUGUAAACACUGAUGCGAUUUCACAUCAAGGAAUAUAUGUGUACAGCAGUGUUAAUUUUGGCAGCUAUUUUUGAUUUAGUCUUAGUCUUUAGACGAAAAAUGCAUAUUAGUUUUAGUCACAUUUAGUCAUUUUAAUCCUUCUUACUUUUAGUCUAGUUUUAGUCGACGAAAACUAGACUAAAAUGUAAUUAGUUGUAGUCUAGUUUUAGUCACAUUUAAUAGCCAUAUUAAACUCCUUUUCUUCCCUUCUCAGGCCCAGGGACCUCCUGUGUUGUGUCUACAACUGCAUAAUAGUCUUGCUUGCAGUACCUGGUUGUCCAUUAGAUGUUCCUCCUAGGACAGGUCUAUAGCAGCGGUCGGCAAACUUUUUGACUCGCGGGCCACAAUGGGUUGUAAAAUGUGACGGAGAAGCCGGGCCAAGAACAAAUCGUUGUUUGUGUGAGUGAAUAUAAAUCACAUGUGAAAAAUCAUUACAUGAAGGGAUUUGGAUUUUAACAAAUAGCAAAGCAUUUAUUUGCAAGGCGAUUUAACAAAUUGGCAAAGGUGUAACAACUUCAUGAGGACCAGGGAUCUAAACCCUUUGUUGUCUUUGUCUGUUUACUUGCAAUGCUUUUGACAUGGACACCGGAAGCUUUAUGGUCCUUUAUUGUUUCCACUGUGAAAUGGCUCGUCCCAACAAAAGAGACCCCUUAACGUCCUACAAUCGGUGCAAUACAUUAUUUUCUUGGGUUCAGAACCUGCGAUGACUUUAUCAUGUUGGACGUGUUUGGAGAAGCCUGUAACGGACCGUCUCAUCUAGCCGAGGAAACUCUGCCUGCCGUCGCCAAAGAACAGAGCAGAAAGGUCCGCGUGGACAGUCUGUUAAACGGGUCUUCAUGUUUCUGUGAAGCACCGCGUCUUCAGCCUGCUAACAGUCAGCUAAACCGAGACAGCUGAGCUACACUAAGGAAGCGCACGUUCAAACUCGCCGAAGCGUAAAAUAGUCGUUGCGGUCCGUAGUCGGUGCACAAGAACGACCGCUGCACCGAUGCGAGCGAGCGUUCUGGGUUCGUGGAUGACGUCAUCAUGACGCGUUAAUAUCCGCCGUACUUUGCCUGUCUGUUGUCUGUUAGCUGCGUGCGAAUUUAGGGGGGAAAAGUAUUGUGACUUUGUCAACCACUAACAUGUUCGUCUCGUCUCGUCUCGUUGACGAAAGUUGGAAUAGAUUUAGUCAUAGUUUUUAUUUUUUAAGAUCGUUUUCGUCACGUCUUAGUCUCGUCUUAGUCAUGGAAAAAAGGUUUGUUAACGAAAAAUUUUCGUCAUAGUUUUCGUCAACGAAAUUAACACUGGUGUACAGCAACAUGAGCAACACAUGUAGUCAUUAUUUAUUAGAGUAAUAUUUGCUUUAUAUGCCAUAUUUGCUUUUUCGCUUGUGUUACACCUCUACUUUAUGGAGGAAAAAAUAUUACUUAUACACUACUGGGAACUGUGGCCCGAAAAUAAAUAACAAAACCAAAAAGAAAUGUGGAUUUGAAUGUUGCUGCAAACACAUUCCCCCAUUUCUAAACCAAAAAUAUGAUACCGGCUAGAUGCCUAAUGGCUUUUAAUAUAUAUUACAUAUAAAACAUUACUUUUGUACAUUUUGUUAUUUUGUAUAGAUUACCAAUUCACUUUUUAGUAGGAAUCACAGCAAGAAGGUCCUGGGUUCGAUUCCACCCAGUGGCCUUUCUGUGUGGAGUCUGCAUGUUCUCUGCGUGGGUUCUCUCCGGGUUCUCCGGCUUCCUCCCACAGUCCAAAGAUAUGCUCUGGGGAUCAGGUUAAUUGGGGACUUUAAAUUUCCCGUAGAUGUGUGAAUGGUUGUAUGUCUCUGUGUAGCCCUGUGAUUGGCUGGCGACCAAUCCAGGAUGUACCCUGUCUAUCGCCCGAAGUUGGCUGGGAUGGACUCCAGCCCCCCCGUGACCCUGUGUGCAGGAUAAGCGGUUUGACAAUGGAUGGAUGGGACACUUUUGGAAAUCUAUAAAAUGUAAUAGUUAUGUAAAUGUUAGCUGGGUUUAUUUGACUUCAUUCAUAGUUUCAGGGUAAUAGCUGGACCUGCAAACUCAACAACUGUGUGUGAAAAGACCAGGGUAAUAAGGUUGUGAACCCUAACCCUAACAAAGCCCCGGCAGACCUCCCAGUCCUACUCAGUCUACACUACCUGGGGAAAGGUUGUAAUGUGAUAGAAAAAGGCCACUCUGGGUCAAGGUAAAGCGUGGCACAUACGGUACCAGUGAAUAUUUUGGACACAAUCAUGCACAAUGUACAAACUCAUGCAUCCAUUCACCUUUUCGAAUGGUGAAGCUUAAAGUUCUUUAUAUCUCAUGACUACAGCUAGCGGAGGACAAAAAGCGCCGUGGAAAUGCAGGGUUCAAUUCGCCAAACCAUGCAAAAUUAAUAAACAGCCCAGCAGAGAUUACUACCGCUACGUUUUUAAUACACCUUCACCCGUGGGGCUGCCGCUGCAUUCUCCAGAGACAUCGAUUAGCAGGAGAUGGAGUGACAGUUGACUCCUCCAGAGAGUGCAGAGAUUAGGUAAAAAAAGUGUGACGUUGCGCUGUUGCUCAUCGAUAUGUCAUUAAACAAUGACAGCGCCUCAGGCUGAUUUGGUUCUUAAUGGCAGAGGCAUUAAGGAGUAUCAGGUCAUCUAUAUGGCUCCUGUAUACCAAAUGGCAACCUGUGCUGAAGCCUUAUAAUGCAGUUACCAAUACUGUCAGACUGUAUGGGGAAAGCUAUGCAGAGAAGGCCUGCUGUCAUAUUAUUUAGAGACACGCAGGAGGUGUUAGAUUCUUACCAGUUGGAAAUAGAAUAAAUAAGCAAAUUAGUCAUCUGCUGUUAUGCUGGUCACACAAAGCAGGACUCGACUUUCAGCCAAAAAUGUCAAGGUCCACAGAAGGGCACUGUGAACAGGAAUUCUGUGGAAUGUGGGAUUUAUCAAGAUAAUGUAACUUUACUUACUUUCCAGACGCUAGAUCAUUUAAUUCUUGCAAAAUCCCAAACACUCUAUGCUCCUUGGUGAUUGUAUUGGGGGGGGCGGGGGACGAAAGAGAGUGAAAGAGAAGCACAGAAAAAAGUUGUUCUUUUGGAGAUAAGCAACUGUUUAAUAGAAAGUACACAAAUAUAUUUCCAUGCCGAUGAGCCAUUUGGGAUUUUUACACCACAUCAAUGGUCUGUCUGUAUGAGGGAAGGCAGUAACUCAGUCCAGGAGCAUUACUGAUUUACUGAAAAAAAAUUAUGGCAAGGAGUAAUUGAUAAGAGUACAGAUGGAACUACCGUUUUUGACAAGAUCACAAACAACAAUAAGACUUGGGGAGAAAAACAACAAUCUCACAGAGUGGUGGUCAGAGAACAACCUACUGCUCAAUGUUGGUGAUAACAAAGAAAAAAAACGGAAGAAAAUGGAGAUAAAGACAUACUAACAUCUACAUAAAUGGAUUUGAGGUGUGUAAUGUAAUGGUACUAUUUUAUGGACAUGCAGAGUGAUCAGGUGUAUAUGACAUGAAAGGGGGCGUGUACCGUCGGCAAGUUGUAUGAACCUGCACAGUCAUUGUCCCAAUGCUGAUGUUGAAUGAAGAUAAUAAAGUUAGCGGUAGAUACCACGGCUUUAAACUUAUUGUACACAUAACACAUGGUGUCAGAAGAUGGGGAAUUCCCUCCCAACUUCAACUUCUCGCGCCCUGAUCAAUGGCCGGAGUGGCGCCAACUGUUUCAUCACUUCAGGAUCAUAACGAAACUCAAUAAAGAGCCCCGAGAAGUACAGGUCUGUACGCUUCUAUACUUGGGGAAGGAAGACGAAGAUGUUACUAGGGCAGGUAUCUACCCAACCUGUCUGAGGUCACCAAACCCCUCAAUGAUCUCCUCAAAAACAUGAAAUGGGUAUGGAGUGCAGUGCAAGGGGAGGCCUUCAAGAAGGUAUAACAACUCAUCACAAAAUCACCAGUCCUAGGAUUAUACAAUGUGAGUAAGCCUACCAUUAUCAGUGCAGAUAAUAACAGUUAUGGUUUAGGUGGAGUCCUGCUUUAUCAUAGCAGACACAUUGUCCAGACAUACCCAUGCUUCUAUGACACAGGAAAUCGCAGAGCUGACCAGUGAAAUAGAAGCCUAUGAGGAAGCAAUCCACAAGUCAUGGCCCAUGAACCUACCAAACUGGACAUGGUCAAACAGCAGACCUUACAGCAGCGGUUCCCAAACUCAAGAAUGCCGCGGCCCACUUUGAAAUCUGAAAAUCUUUUGCGGCCCACCCAAACCUUUAAUCACAACUCUGAUCAAAACAUAAACUAGGGAUGAUUAAAUGACCUUAAGAAUUUAACCGAUUAAAAAUGUAUUAACCGACAGUGUAUGUUUUGUAUACCAUUUUCUCCGGAGCUCAUGUGCCGUGUUUUCCGCACAAUAAGGCGCAUAAGAUACUGCAGUCUAUCAGCGCCAAUCACUGUCAAAAUUCGAGAGCGCAAAUCAGGAUGAUGCACGCGCGUAAAUCAAACAUCCGCCAGCAAAAGUCUGUCUCGCGCGAGCAAAAGUCUGUCUCGCGCGAGGUAUUUGCUCGCUUGCAAAACGUGAACUUCGUUGCUCGCGAGGAGAAUCUCUGCUUGCGCUCGAAGGUGUUUUCUACUCGCUCGCUGUUGUUCUUUCUGACAGUAAGGGGGCGGAGCCAGUCACCAUGGUCUCUACACCUGAUUGGUUACAAACCCCGUCUUUGGAUUGGCUGGAGCGAUGCAUUCACACAACUAUAGAAGCCCAUUUCCGGACACUGAAGAAAGGGGAUAGAAAGUCUAAAUUAUGAGAUAAAACGUUGUCAAAACACAAACAACACCUUUAUGUAACCGUUGUGGACCGUAGAUGACAACCAGCUACAAGCAUAAUUUACCAUCAUUACCGGCACAUUAAGACCAAUGCGUCCAGCUCGCAGACCGGCUCGUGAUUUGCCGCCGUAGCAGUCAAACGUUUGGCGUCAGGGCUGGUGGAUGGGGGGGGUGGUGGGGAGGUGGAGACGGUGCUUUCAGGGUCCGAUCGAUGCUGCAAGGUGCGUCCGCUCCCGCCGCCCCCCUCACCAUCCACGCCUUAAAUCUUCGGCUGCUUUUAGAAUAACUUAUUUUCCCCGUUAAGAUGGUUCAGCUACUGUAGAGAAAAGGGCGCCGUCUCUUGCUCUUUAAUCUCAUGAAGUGCUCGGCGAGAACGACAGCUUUGUUUCUCCGACGCGCCCUGAAACAAGCUCCAUAUCUCACGCGCUUGAGCGCCGCUCAGCAUCUCGCCGUCGUAGACGAGCUUUGGCAUGUUUGGCAGAGCGCCUUGAGCGCCGUGUACAACCAGUAUGGAUCAACCGAUUAACCAAUCUGUUCGUUUAAAUUGUUUGUGCUUCAUCAAUUAAUGUUUCACAUAACUAAUGUGCCGCAUCAUACAUAUUUUUAUAUUAAUUUCAAACUUUUCAAAAUUGGAAAUUAAAAACUUUUUAUUUAUUCAUUGUAAAUGACUUCUCGCGGCCCACCUGCAGUACCUUCGCGGCCCACCAGGGGCUGCAGCCCACACUUUGGGAAUCGCUGCCUUACAGGAUGCAGAACUGCAGAUGGUUCAAGACUGUGGGGUGUUGGAAUGCCCCACGUAUGCUAUUAAAGUGCCUAACAAGGUAAAAGACUACUACACUUCCAGACAUCACCUCUCAGUUUCGGAAGGACCCGCUACCCAGUGGCCGAUGGGAAAGAGUAGCAGCUGACAUAUGUGAGCUUUUCACGAUGUAUAGAAAUAGCCUACCUCAAUAACAUGUCAGGUGAAACCACGAUAGCUAAGCUGAAGAACUUCUUUGCUAGAUAGCGAUGCCCACACAAACUUGUCACAGACAAUGGUCCCCAAUUUUAAGGCUGGGCUUUCAUGCAAGGAGUAUGAUUUCCGACAUACAACUUCCAGCCCUCACUACCCUCAAUCAAACGGUGCGGCAGAAAGAGCUGUGCAGACGGCCAAACGGAUCUUGAAACAAGCUAACCCUUUCUUAGCCCUCUUGGUCUACAGAGCAACCCCACUUCAAGUCACAGGUGUGAGUUCAGCUUAACUCAUGCUUGGCAGGCAAAUCCGUUCUACAAUUCCUACACUGGAGGCUAAUCUGCAACCUGGAUGGCCAGACCACCACAAAGUCACACGGUGAGAGGACGAUACAGAGCUACAGCGGGCCUACAACGACAGGGAUAACCUUAGAACUCUAACUUUCAACCUGGAACCAGUGUUGCUGUAAAUCUGGAUAGCGAGGGAGGCUGGACAAAGUUUGCUUUUCUCCUUAAGCGAGGUGACACAUCACGGUCAUACCUAGUCCGGACCGAUAAUGGUAUACUGCGCAGAAACCAUCGCCAUCUGAGACCUCUCCACAGUCCUCCAGAGACUUUCCAGGUGGGAAGGGAUGGAUGGAUCUAUGGUGAAGGACGGAGAAUCAAGCACACCUGUCCUGAUGCAGACACACCUCCUGCAACGACAGACUGCAACACGCACAACCUCCAGCGGCAGAAUUGUAAAACCACCAGACCGAUACGAAGUAUCUUGAGUAGUUAGAAUGUAGCCUGCAUCAAGUGGCAGAAUAAUCCACUGCAGUUGAUGACUGGUAGUCCACCCAACAAUAGUUCAGAUUAAUGUGAAAUGGUUGUCUCAUUAAAUAAAUAAAUAAACCUAUUGAGUGCAAUUAAACGUUUGAAUCGUUGGAGGAUCCGCUGUGGCACCCGGGCACGGCAAACCGCCAAAAACGGUUCAUGAUUUUUGAAACUGUGUGUGGAAUGGGUCUCGAAUGGACUCAGGGGUUACCGUGUUUUAGGGUAGCCGGGUAUAGUUCACCCUGAUUUGUUGGUUUUCGUUAGCUUUAAGUGGAAUGUUAUGAUGUCUUUUGAAAUACAGGAUGGGAAAGGGUAUGUUAUGCUGUCAGUCCAGCAGCUCCCCCUGUGUUUGUUCGCUUUGCCUGUGUUUCCCCUGUCUCAGCAAGGGGGUGUGGUCUUCUCCUGUUCAUCUCCGAAGGGUGUGGCUGGAACAGCUGACGGCAAUCAGCCAUCAGGGGACUCCCCUACAUCAACCCGGGUCUUCCUGCCGUUCAGCAUCAGAUAGUUCUGUCGUCAGAGUGGCAACUACGUAUUCAGGCCAUCUGGCUACUAGUGUGGAUUCAACGCUGUCUUUGCUCACCUUGUCCUGUUUUUUGCCCUAGUGCGCCCAGAUCCCUACCUGCCUGCUGGCUGGCUCUCCGAGACCAAUAUCCCCUCCAGACUCAAACCUGCCUUGUGCACCUUUUUUUCUGUAUAUGUCUGAAUAAACCCAUUAUUUCCCAGAAGAACCUCCCGUGUGCUGCGCUUGGGCCCACGCCCAUUUACCUCACAGUAACAGGGUAUGCAAGUACAACGGCGUGUGUUGAAGGUGGGGGUUAAAGCAUUAAAUGUUUGAAGACUAUCUUGGAAUGUGCAAAUUUAACAAAACCUGUAGACCUGGACCUACGACGGAAAGGUUGUCUGAGUGAAUCAGUAUGCCAUCUUGCUGUGAACCAUCUUCCGUUGUAUAAGCCCCAGUGACCAACCGAAGGAGCUGCGUCUGUGUACAAAUGUAAAUCGUGCAGGUAUUAACGUGGGUCUUUAUGUUACCUCGUUGGCUUGACCCGUCGCGUCACCUGGCGUCAUCUCGUCACGCCGCCUCAAAGUUAAUGUUAGCUGUAAGCUGGUAUCCUGGUGCCGGUUGCUCCAACUGUAGCCAUGACUGGUAGGAGAGGGUGAGCGGGCAUGAUGCAUGAUAGGAUAAAAGCGUCAGCUAAAUGACAUGCAAUGUAAUUUAAUGUAAUGAGCCUUUCAUACAGCUUGCGUUACGCUCCUGCCUCCUUGUGUUAAAUUCUUGAUCUGAUGUAGUAGAGAUGCCUUUCAGAUCAAAGCUACAGACAAGCUAAAUCAAAUUAAAUGCAUCAGCAUAGCUUUAAUGUGCAACAAAGUUACGGCGGAAUUGAUUGUUACAUAUGUUGUCUAUUAAAAGCUAUUAGGACACAUUUCCAAGGCAAUAUAAUAUCAACAUAAAUUAAUCAAAAAUUUAGCCAGACAGAGGAAAAGUAAAGCAACUGUGAGGGAUAUACUGCAACUUCAUCAUGGCCUCCAUCGCAGGGUACAGGUUUUGGUUGCUUAGUAACGGAGGGGUUACCUCCUAAACACCAUGGGUAAAAGGAUGUAAGUGGUGAUAUAAAACCUGUUUUUUGAUGUGAACAUCCGCUUACAGAAUCCCAGGACCUAAAACCCAUGAUACUGACAAUACUGAAAAUAAAGCUGCAUCCAGUGAUUGCUUUGCCUAUGUAGGUUUAAGAGGAUUAAAGUAAAGAACCACUUUUUUUUUUUUUAAUCAGUAGCAAAUGUUUGUGGGCAGACAGAUUGUCAACAGGCCACUUAGUGUAUGAUUAACUGGGGUUUUAUUUCUCAGCAGUGCUUCAAGACGUAGACGCAGUUUAUCUGUUGUUUUUUUGGCGGAAAGAACCUGACAGCAUAAUUAACCACUUCCUUUAGGUCCACAAAAAAUCAUCACUCAUGUUUUGCAUCUGAAAGACCGUGUGGCGGUUCCCAAAAUUAGAAAUAUUGAAAAAUACAAUUUUUUGAGAAGUUGAACCAAAAUUGAACUUUACCAGCACGUCCAUUUAGUCCAUUCAAUGCCACAGUAAGGAAAAAACUUUUCUACUUUUCUCUCUAGCCAUGCAAAUUGUGCAACCGUCUUGCUUUCUGCCAAGUUACACAAAAGCGAAUGCUAAGUAAGCAGAUUGCGCGUGGAAAGCCUGAAUUGAAUUUGUCCUGCGAUAACUGGACGUGUUACCGUCUUAUUUCUUUCAUAAACGUCUUGUCUCUAUUAGCAAACACUGACAAGCUGCUCUGGCUCUCCACUGGAAUCCUGUGGGUUCUCCACCCCCCACCCCCCCCUGUCAUGAAUCACAAAGAAUUGACAGUUGUGAAGAAUGGAAAACCUGGGAGGGAUGUUUAGCCUGCGUGGAAACACACUUAAUAUAUGCGGUGGCCAUAUACUGAAAAUGUGCCAGCAGCUGUGUACAAAUUAUAGAGACAGUCAAUAGCCUGUUGCUUGCAUGACUUUGUAUGUUUACUUCUCCACAUGUACAGUAGAGUGUGUGUGUGUGUGUGUCCAGUGUCUUGUGUAUGAAGUGCAGUUUGAAAGUCUAGUUUCAUAAAGUUUUCACAUUUCAUCAACGACGGGAAACUGUAACAUAAUCACGGCAUUAUGUAUUAUGGCAUUUGAACAUAACAAGGUUAUAAUAUGUCGCUGUUCAAUGUAAAUACAUGUUAACCUUUCUCUGUUACCGUCUCUGAUGUUAAAGAGUCGGUUUUGACCUAUGUCUUAUAUCAGCUGUGAAAUAAAACAAUCAUCUAUUGUCCAAUUUGUUUAUCAUCUCUUGGUUACCUUGUCAGGCCUUCUUGUCCAUGAAAUUACUGAUAUUUUUGGCGUGGACUUCUGGGCCUUUCCUUUGUCAGUUGGAGCUGGCUGUCAGUAUGUUGGCUUACAGUACACAUAUGAUUUCAGUUUUGGCUCUAAUUAUAACCGACCCUAACAACACACAUAUCAACCAGAGAUUUUCAUAAUUUAGUGAAAAAAAACUGUCAGGAAUCUAUUUCAACAAAAUAAAACAAAGUCAAAAACCUUGAUGGAAUAAACAAAUUAAUGUGGUUCUGGAAUGCAUUUAAAACCUAACGCAAGUGGAGGGGUAAAUGUAAAUGCAAAGGCAGUUCAUUCAAAUAAGGUACACAUUUUAACAUAAAUGACAAUGAAUGAACAGUACCAUCCACUACUAUUAACAUUUACAUUGAGUUACAUUUGGACUCAGUGAAGGGAAUGAGAAAAUAUGUCCAAACCUUUGAGUGGUACUGUACAGAAUAUUGACAUAGGAAUUUCCAUCCGUGUGUAAAACAUCCACUAAUUUGGAGUCACCUUACAAAGAGUCCUCUUCAUUGCCGGUGUGAACAGGACGAACAAUCACAGCUAUACUUCUUCAGCGUACCGAACAGCACGGACACCUUUAAAGACACCUUAAAGCACUUGAACCCAUCCUAAUUUUGCUUUACAUGGUUGGAGAAGGGACAUUUGGAGGAUAAAGCAAAAAGCACAUAACUUGUCAAAACAGCCACAAUGUGGAAAUUGGAUCAGCUCGAGAGCAGUAUUUUUUUUAUUUUCACUCAGUUGACUCUACAAUCAAAUUCAGACCAAAUGUUUAGGUGAAUUGUUUGUUUUUAUUUUCAUAUUUUAUUUGGUAAUUUUGGGAUAAUGCAUAGGCUUAUUCUACCAAAACUAAACAAAAAAUCGAUGCAUUGAGAAACUGAUUUCGAUAUUCAUUACCAUGGCAACAUCAAAGUUUUGAAGAAUUUAGGUCUGUAGAGUGUAUUAAAUGACGUCUUUAUCUAGUCUUCAGUGUAUUAUCCUGUCAUCUACUGUCAUGCUGGACUUUAACAACAUGCAUACACAGGGAUGAAAAAGAUUCACCCUUAUGCUUUCCUUGAAUUGCUUAAAUACGUCAGUCUUUAUUUCCUCCAAUAUAGUAAAGAAUUUUUUUUCCAGUAAAACAUUUUGGAAGCUUUUUGUUUGGUAGAGUGGCUUACGCUGACACUUUGCACAACUUCAAUCACCCUUCUUUAAAGCACUCACAGCACCAACCAGCCUUUGAGCCAGAUGUGACCAAAUGUUCAUCAAACACUGCAUUCAUACCCUCUAUGUCCCUUGACAAAUAGCACUGAUCACAUUGCAAAAGGUCUCAUUUGGCUAUUUGGAGCUUCCGGAUGAUUGAUGAUAAUGAUAGCUGAAUUGCAAAGCUAAAGUCGCUCCCCCUUCUAGGAAAUGAGCAAAUUUAAAAUGUAACCUUUUGUGCUCGAGCAUAACUUUACUCAGAGGUUGCCUGCAGAAAAAUAAAACAAUCUUUCAGACAUUUUUCUUCUACUUGUGAGCCUUUCGAAUGAAGAAAAUGGAUUCCGUGUGCAACAACAGUUGGUGAAUACAUCUUGUUUUCUUUCCAUUAAGAACUCCAAAAUAAAGAGAACAAGUUUUAUAGGAUUCAGUCCAGGUCACUGACUUUGUGUGCAUUGUUUGCAGCACAACACUCUUAUUGUUCCAACUUCUGGCUUUUUUUCUCCGCCUGACCACUAACGCCUGCCUUCAUUUUUUAUAAGACUAAUGGAUUUCUGCACUGCAUCUUCCCUUUCGUCAAUACUAACGUUGGCCCGUUCUGCCUUAUUUAUGGGCGAGUGUUUCCUCCGGUAAUGUCUAUUGUCUUUCCUGGUGAAGCACACGACAGUAUUACGUGAACAUCAGUUGCGGGCCCCCAUCUUUCAACCUCCUCCCCCGAGCCAUGGUUCAGCUUUUCCAUUCACCGGUCACAGCCGCACAAUUUUCUUGGCUCUUCCUGACAAAACACCCACAAGUGACUGAAAAUGUCACAGGCCUGGCUCUCCAUCACGGUUGACCAUAUGAAAACCCAUUUAAGUGCUUGUAAACUGACCUCAGCGGGGCUUUUAGAACACAUGGAAGCUAGAUUGGGUGAGGUAUUUCUAUCCAUAGAUCACUGUCGCUUUCGGUUCAGUGGUUUCACAGUUGUUUUUUUUAGCCAUAUAAGUAUUGUAAAGAGAACGAAUUCUGUUAACUUUCUACACUUUGAUAACCUCUUACUUUUAUUACUUUUUUAGUUUUGAUCAUUUUUCCUUGUGUUCAUUUAGUUUUGUCAUAUUACACCAGCCAGGCAGUCUCACUUCCUCUUGUAAGUACUGUGUGAAAGGUGGUGCUUAUUUUCCAAAACAAACCUGGCAGAAAUGUAAAUGCUGUUCUCAUCUGUUACCAUCUGUCAGCUUGCUUUUUCUUCUCCCACUUUUAAAUCAGACUCGACUAUUUCCUUGGACAUUGCCUUUUUUUUUUUGCCGCAGGCUCAUGUUUCAUCUUGAGUUUUCCUAGAAGAAUGAAAAAAAUACAGACUGUCUACCACUUUUUGAGCUCAUGCUUUGGCUUCCUUAAUCCCAGUUUCAUACCCUGCUUCUCCUCCUCAUCGAGUUUUCCGACUGCAUCAACUCCUGCCCUUGUCCUCCCUCGUUCUCUUAACCCUUCUAGUACAGGUUCAGCGGCUAUGAAGGAGACUAGCUUCACCCGGGCUCGCUAUCGAUCCAAAUUAAACAGGACACGCGGCUCCUUUUUUCUCAACAGCAAAAGCUUUUACAAAAGUUUGUAUUUGGUGGCAAGGUUGUCAAAGAAGAACUCAAAGAAUGCAGGGGGGGGGGGGGGGGGGGCGAGGGGUGAAGGAAUGGUGUAUGUAAUUGUGAGAUGCAGCUGGGGGCAUUAAUUAGUUUUUAGUUAAAGGUAAAUUAAUAUCUAUGCUUUGUGUUUGAAUACAGGAACCAACAAAUUAUAAAUUAUAUAAGAUUUGCAGUAUUUAUGAUAUAUUCCAUUCUUGGGUCUUCAAAAGUGCAACACAGACGGAUAAAAGCAAAGCAUUUAUCCUAAUUCUGUUGUCGCCCUGCUUACCAGAUGCCCAAACCACCUCAACUGGCUCGUUUCAACGCAAAGGAGCAGCGGCUCUACUCUGAGUUCCUCACGGAUGGCUGCGCUUCUCACCCUAUCUCUAAGGGAGACGCCAGCCACCCACCCGAGGAAACACAUUUUCGCCGCAUGUACUCGUGGCCUUGUUCUUUCGGUCAUGACCCAUCCUUCAUGACCAUAGGUGAGGGUAGGAACCAAAAUUGACCAGUAGGUCGAGAGCUUUGCCUUUCGGCUCAGGUCAAUUUUUGUGAACUCCUUCACUUGGAGUAAGGACGGAUUCUCUACCCACAGGAGGCAUAUGAUUACACAUUCCCCGGGUCAAUACCUGGCAUUGUAUGUUUAUCUUGUCCAACAACAAAGCUAACCAGGUCGUUCUUAUUCCCCAAUCAUUAAAAAGGCCUGACAUUUUAAACAUAGGCCACGCAUGUAUUAAACACUGUGCUCACAUAGUAUAUGCGAUAUACUGAAAAUUGAAGUAAUUUGUUUAAUCCAAACUAAAAUCUUUGAGUCGUUUCUUGUGAACACAGAGUGAGAAGUGGGGCCUCACAAUGGGAAGCCCUGCAAAUAGCUCAUACUUUUUGGGUAAAAGCCAACACAAUAGCAUGACCUUUAUAUUUGCAUGGGACUUUGUUCUGUUUGAAGUGAAAACUUUGAUGUGGAAUUGUAACUUACAGUACUGUGCAUGUCUGGACUAGGACCAGAUGCAUGUCUUUUUAGUUGUUUUAAAAAUACUGAUUUAAAUCUGUUCACAAGGCCUAGGAGGGUUAUUCUCUAACUUCUCUGAAUGGAAAAUUCUAGGGCAGCCUAUGAACAGCAGAAAUUAAUGAUUAAGCGCUUUCUGCUGGCUUGCUAUAGUGUCUAUUCCAAUGUCCACUGUCAUUCUCAUUUUCACUCUUGCAUGCUAUUUUUGCACACAAAUUGAAUUCAGCUUCAUCUUCUGGAGCUGUGUUUUCCCAAACGUUUGUUCUGGGACCUUCUUAUUAAAAGAUGAAAAACUGUCACAGCCCAUUUCACAACAGUGUUCUUUUCUGGGGAUAUAAACAUUUCGUACCAAUUUCUGCUUCUAAUAUUAUUUAGAAUCACCAUGGCUGUGCUUUAUGCAUGUUUUUAUAGUUAAAAAAUGAGUAAAUUCAUUUAAGUUGAGUUAAUAAGCUAUGUUGUUCUUCAUAUUUCCUCUGUUCAAUAAUAUAAACAGAAUGUUCAACAGCCUUACAUCAGAAAGUCAGGCAGCUUUGCCAGAACACGUCAGAGCAUGCUCUGCUGGCCCCAAAGCUCAGAAGCCUGUAGACAACGUUGGCGACUGUGCUCAGUGAGCAACUGCCAUGUAGUAAUUGGGGCACCAUAUCGGAAUGCAGUAUCCAGUUUUACCAAAUAGAUCUACAACCAACAAGAUCCAAUACGCUAUAAAAAGGCCCCACAGAAGCAAAUCAAAAACAUGACAUUGACUAUUGGCUAAGGUCAACUCUCAAUGUACACAGAAUAGAUAAAUACUGUCUAUUUUAUUUCCACUGUCUUUUGUCCCAGCCUAUUUAAUGCCAUGCUAAGACGUGUCCGGCUUUAAGGAUAGAUUGCACCCAUGUAAUCCUUGCAUACUGAAGCAAUGUAAUCUUCACAUUGUGUUCACUGAACGUAAUCUUUUCCUUUGAGUCUACACUCAUUCGAACAAAAUGUGCAAGGCUGUUUUACCAGGCAACAAUUGUGACCACUGAAAAAGUCCCAAGAACUCUAGUUCCCCUUUAUAAUCCUUUUGUCAGAGAGUGAUAGAAACACACGGUGAUUGAGAUCACUCUAACAGCUGUGGCAAAAAAUACAUAUUAUGUGCAAGACAAGGAAACCCUGAAGGACAACUACUUAACUCAUGUUAAGGAAACGUAAAACUUUUUGUGGAGAAUUACCCUCACCUUCACACCACACAUUGCGAACCAAGCAAAAAAAAAGGCGUACACCUAUUGAACCAAACACAUUUGAAUGCCUGCAGCUUUUGAGGACUUUUGCACUUCCUGCAACAUGUGCUAAAUCAUAUCUCCUCGUCUCUAGUCUGGGUAAAAUAAUGACAGGGUUCCACCCAAGGUGAAGGACAUACUAAUUCACUUUGGCACAGCAUUGUUUUGAUGUAGAGAUAGCGGCAGGCAGAGGUGAGUGAUGGAGCUGUCCGACAGGAAUGAAAGGGGGCCAGGCCCUCUGUCACAGCAGGACAGACAGAUGGGGCAUCAUGGGAAACAUGCCUGAGAUCAUAAAAGACUCUACAGGACAUAAUGAGAGACUUCAGAGAGUGUGCUUUUUAGAGGGGAGGGAAACUCCCAGGAAGGCAUCAUUUAACGGCUGUUAAAAAAACCAACUUGUGGCGAUUCUCGCUUCACUCGUGAUGUCUCCAUCCCGUGGGUUCCUGACAAACUGUUCCCUCGCAGAGACCUUCGGAUUACUGGUAAGUAAAACAGAGUCCAAUUUGUCUUUGAUUUGAGUAAACGACAUCUUUACGAGGUUGCAUCCCAGACGGAUGGUACGCCGCGGCACAUCCAUCACCGCCGGGCCAACGAUGGGAUUGAGUUUCCAGACUCCCCCAGCGUGUCUUGCUCUCUAUCUGAAACACCCCUUUAUGAGUCACCUUGUCAGGGUCUCUGAGGCAAGACAACCCUAUUCCAGUGUAUGGACAUGUCUUUGUUUUUCAUACUCACCGGAGGGGAAGAUUAUCAAGGUCUUGGGUGAAAAAAAAGGGAAAGAAUACACCUUUAGAAAAAAGCUUGGCGUCUUAUCUUGAAUACACUUGGCAUUUCAUUAUUGAUGUCCAGCUAUUUACCAAGAUUAACUCCCGCUCAGUUCAGAGUCCAGCAGAGAAGCUUAACUUCUCCUUCCACUUUUGAUUCCCAUCUAGCUGGCCGGCUCAUAAACGAUACGCCUUUUCAAAUGCUCGCUUGAAGAAUUCAGAGGGCACUCUGGAUUUCAGUGAGGGCGACAUGCCGUCACAUAUAAAUGUGAUCAUUAUUAAAUUAUGCACACCUUUUGUGACAUGUGACAAGGCAAUAUUGACUUUCGCAGCAUCCUAACCGGAGUGGGAGCCACGGGGCGCCGCUCACUGUCCCUGAACCCCUGUCACUCUACUUUCCAUCUUCCUUUAGACAUUACUGCUGUCCACCAUGAUAACCAGAAAGGUCAUCCAGGAUCCAAGCAUCUGAGCACCCAAAUGCUCAGUGCGGGAUUAUUCUGCUUGCUGUUCCCUGUCAUCUCAAAACCUGAAUUUACAUUACUCACUCUUCAUUGCAUCAGUACUGAAUAUGGGAGGGACAGACAUUUUGAUGGGGCUGUUGCUCUAAACUGAAAAAAGGCUUCAUAGCUAAGCCGCAACUUCUGGUUCUGAAAAGUGAAACCAAUGCCAAAAUUGCAUUAUUUCUACUGAAUAUUAGGGGGCAUCUUUUCUGGAUGCAAUUUUUCUUUUGCAAAAAAUCUAUGCGUAAAAUGCCCCUACUUUUUCCUAAUUUAUUACCUUAGCAAACGUUGUAAACAUGACUUUAUGUUCUUAAUUGCGGGUGUCAAAUCUUCAUCACAUCAUGUAUUACAGAUUAUGGCCUCACUUAGAGUAAAAUAGGCCACAAAGCUGGGCAGAUUUAGGGCAUGGCUACCUUGUUAGUGACAGGUCGUUACCAGAGCCAUAAACUGCAUCCUUACCUCACCAUUGCUCCUUAGUAAUCCAUAUACAUUAUCUUCUUAGGGAGCUUUUUGUCACUGGUUCCAAUAAAGUAAGAUGGUGACAGUUAAAUUGCAAAACUCAAGGCUUUAAAACCUCAAUCUACAAACCAAUAGGGGAUCUAGCAGUGUCUACGUCCACUUAUUAUAAACAGUCUGUUGCUGAACGCACAGUCAUUCUGCCCAAUGGCAAUUUAAUCCAGUAAGUGGCCAUCAUGUUUGACAGACCUAUAGUUCAGUCUUUGGUCAUACCUUGGAGUGUAUCAAAGUGAUACAAAGUGAUUCAAUCAAAAUAAAAAUAACAAGAUUAGAGUAUAUUCAUUAAUCCAACUGUAGUUUUAAUUGAUGUAUUUAAAACACAAAGAGACGGUAUCCCCUUUUUCCAAACAUCUGAAAGACCAUCUAUACCUGCAUUAGUUGAUUUUUUUUGUAACGAUGGGGCCAACUGAAAAAGCAGAAAAUGUCUGAAGUUGUCAUUGCUGAGUGAUGUGUUAGAAAACAUGUUGAGCACACAACAUUAGCACGAGUAGUGCUUCUUGUCACCAGAUGAAACCAAGUCCUUCAAAAGUUAUUGUAAGUUGCUUUGGAUAAAAGAGUCAGCUAAAUAAAAAAUGUAAAGAAUGUAAAUAGUCCAAAAUAUCUACGUUUCAGUCUCCAUCACUUACAGGGACAAAUGCUUUCUUGGAUGGUGUCACGACCGGACAAUGGCCCCGAACCCAUGUCUAGACUCCUUAGAUAGUUCCAAAAGAAAUCAAAGGGCAAGUGCCACUGAAAUAAAAAUCACUCGUGGUCGAGGAAAACACUACGUGGUAAAGCUAUAGAUGCAGACAUACGCUGGUUCCUUGACGUGAGUCAAGAUGAACUGACACAGGACAAAGGGAGAUGCAGACAAUAUAUACACACAAGGUAGGGGCACAGGUGGAAACCGGGGCAGACAAUCAGACCAGCACACAGGUGAAAGGAGCAGGUUGUCUGAAACGAGAGGGAGGUUAAUUUUCAAAAUAAAACAGGAAAUCACGAGACACAUAGACACGAGACAACAUGAAUAACACCGUUUCCUGCACAUGACAGAUGGUAAAUGUCAAACUUUUCUGACACCGCAUUGUUACAUUUUAACCCAUUUGGAUCAAUGGGGAUGUAUCUAAAAAAAUGUGCAAAAUGGGUUCAGUUCUUGGAACAAAAUGCGUCUCUUUAACCCUGUGAUCCAUUUGCCCAAGACAAACUUUACAACCCAGCGCAAAACAGGGUUUUAUUAACAGGCGUCCGACACAGAAUCAAAAAAGUGAAUUUGUUUCCUAUUGUGACAUCAACGCCUGACGGGCAGCUGAGCGAGCCUUGUUUUAACUGGUGCACUUCAUCACCAAUAAAUGUAAUGUUGAAAACAAGGUUCAUUUCUUGCAGCUCUUAAAUAGCUUAACUGUGACUAUUGAAAAAAACAUUCUGUUCACUAAAACUUCCAAAAGGAUUUUGGGUAAAGUCAAGCAGAAACACGGAACAGUACAUCCUAUGUGAAACCACACCAUAUGUUCUGCCCGAGUAAUUACAGCCAAAAUGGGCACUCCUCCUCCAAGUGCAAUGCAUUAGCUCACUAAUAAAUGAUUGAUAUAUAUGCAACCCGCUCGCCGCUGUGAUUACAGUACAAUGAAGAAAAAAGUAAAAGUAGAGCUGGAGAAGCACACCUCUCCAGCUUUUUCCACUCUGUUUUUUUGGUUAUUCUUCCAAAUGGAGUAAGAUGGACAUGGUUGGUUCUUCAUCCUGACAGGUGGGAUACAGGGCUGAACUCAGGCCUGUAAAUGUACAAGGGAAUGCUGCAGGGAUUUCUGCGAUGAUGGAGUAAGUGGCUUCCGUUGGCGCUAAAGCAUACAGAUCAGCUGUCCCUUGGACAAUACUCCCACCUCUGGAGCAGGAAAAAGGGGUUUUUGAUUCCACACUACCACCACCUUGCACUCCAGAUAGAAGCUGAUAAAAAUAGCUACAUGCGAUCCCAACAGGAGUUUUUUUCCCGCUCUAACAAUAGGGCCAUUUGCUGCCAUGAGGCUAAUGCAUUUCCUCCGCGUAUUAUUGUGGAGUAUCUAAAUGGACAUAAAUGACUUUGAAAAAGGCACUCUUUUUUACAGUGUUUUUUUUUUUUAAUAUUUCAUUCACUUUUAUUAACACUAUAAAGCCAUACAUUGAAAAUAGAACUUUUCUGGGGGAUGGAAGAAAGAUUGUGAUCGGCCAUUUAUCUAACUGGAUUUUCAGUUGUUUGCGGCACAAAAAGACGAGGAAACUGCUGUACUUGUGUGUAAGAAACAGAUCUUUUAUCUUUUCCAUAUAAUGCAGAAAAAAAUUUGACAGGGCUGUUGACAGGGCUGAAGAAAAUCAAGUAAUUCCUGUAUACAGUUACUGUAUUCAAUUUUGCAGCUGAUUGUGGUAGAAAAAACACAAGUCGGCAGAAGUAUGACCUUCAUCAUCACUUUUGAAGUAUUUGAAGUAUGUUUAAUACUUAUUCAAGUACAGAACAACUCUGGGCUGUCGCGGCCUGCCAACAUUUUGCAUAACUGCCAAUAGGGCGAGCAGCUGUCCCUUCCAUCAAAUCAGCUGACUCCAGAUAUCGUAUACAUUCCAAAGAAAACGUCUCUAGAGGUGUGCAAUUCAAGUCCAUCCUAUGGUCGAGUGUCAGAAAAGUAAACAAACCAGCAUUAAAACAAAAUUAAACAUUUUCUCCGAGCUCUAGUUAUCACCCUUUUUGGGGUAAAUAACACAUCUGAUUCCAGGUAUGUACCUCAAAGUUGUGUCAAAGACAUUUUCACAUAAAAGGUUUUUUUGCAAUUUUUGGGAAUAAAGUGCUCUUGGAUUUGUCAAACAACUUAGAAUACAAAACCGGUCUCAAAUGAUACAUUCUGGUAACGCAUUGGUAACAAAGUAGGGAAAUCCCAGUCAGGAAACCAGUCCAUCGUCUUACUGCAACUUGAGAUGUUUGGGUGCACCCUUAAUUUACUUUUAAUUGUUCUUUAUUUGUAGGAAUCCAAAUCUAAAUUGCUGUAUAAUGUUUUUGAGUCCUAAAGUUUGCUUCUGAUUUUGAAUUAUUUUUUUUAACCAGGUUGAUCAGAAAAUAGGUGAUGCCUCAUGACUGAUUACAUUCACCCCCAUAAAAAAGGGUAUCCCAAACUAUCCUGCUAUCGGCCAAGAAUAGAGUAUUAUAGAGAAUUCCAGUAUAAAAGUAUUACGGCCCGCGUGGAGGCCACAUGGUCCAAGACAGAGGCUGGCGGAUCCGUUUCAUGAGUUUGUUCUCAUAUGUCGGCCUCAUGUAAACUGCUCUGCUGAAGACGGCUCUCAACGCUCAUUCCUCUCCCAUCACCCUCAUAAUAAAGAAACUGACUGCACAGGUAGAGGACACCCAAUCUUUGUUGAGCUUUUAUUGAAUUAUCUGAUGCAAGAAACUGCCGGAGCUGCAUUCGAGCCAAGCUGCCACUACAUCCCCGAGGAAAAACCUGCACGUCCUUGUUUUUACAGUGCCGAGGCUGACCUUGAUACAACUAGGUUAAGGUGAAGGAUGAAGACAUGUAGGAUCUCCUGUGCCGCAUGGGCUCCCGGGUGAGACUGAACAACAUGUUGUGGUUUGGCUUCUGCUUCAGAGGGUUCAAGAGAGAAAACAAAUCUCGGACCACUCAGUGAGGCCGGAGCGCAGUUUCUGUCUCUGCAAAUUAGCUUUGCAUUCUUACUGAUGUGGCCACCACUGGUGGUCUUUAAGCUAAAUGAUGACUUCAAGCAAGUGUUUUUCCUGACUUCUUCACACACCAUAUUUCCUGCAACUAAUUAUAUAUACUGUACUAUACAUAUUCGUUUUGUAUUUUCCUAAUGUCAAAGAUAUUUUGCGGAGGAGGUUAAAUUGUGAGGAUAAUAAAACAACAACUGUACCAUUUGUCCAAACCAAAAUGGCAAAACGCAAUCGUCAUUGCAGUUUUAACAAAAGCAACACUCCUUCCCUUCUUACUUUUUAACAUUUUAAGACAUGGACAUUUCAAAUUCUCGGGCAAGUAUUUUAUUCUUGUGUGGUUUAUUUACAACAUGGUCGGUGUAAAAAAGGCCUUAAAGAGAGCAACGUGUAAGAUCUAAACAGACGUUUAACACAUCAUCAAAUAUUAAAUAUUAACCGCAGAAAGUGAAGGUUAGAGAGUUCUCUUUUUUACUAUCCCACAUAACUGGGCAAUGAAGAAAGGAUAAAGCCAGAUUUUGAGAAAGGCAGGGGGGACUAAAGCCCUUUUUUACCUCUUGCGGAGAGAGCUGUAUUGAUUGGCACUGCUGCUUACAAUAUUGCGUUAAAAAAAGCUUUUCUAUCACACCGCAGAUUGGGGAGGCGGGUGGGUGUGGCAGGAUAGAAAGAUAAUCCUAACAGCAGCCACACAAGCUGUGCUGAACACAUCCUUCUUAAACCCGCAGGCCCCCCCACCCUUUUGUUCCAGUGGCAGCUCCAGGAGAAUGGUAAAGUGCACCGGAAUGUGACAGCCACUCAUUCGGACCCGCUUGGGGAGAGUUGCAAAGCUGGAAACAUGGUUAUCAGAAUCUUGUGCAAAUUGUGCUUAAGUCUGCCAGCACUUUUCCCCUAACCCCCCCAACCGCUGAGCUGACCUUGCACCGGCCCUGAUCGGAGGUGGUUUUUAGGUGAUCAGAAAGGAGGAAACAGGCUAUGGGCUCUGGACAGUGGCGAGAUGUCUCCCUGUCACACUUCAUCUAGCCUGAUGCAUCAGGAUUGUUUCCCAGCUCAAGCCCGGGCAAUUACUAUCCUAUUCCAAUUUACUCCUCUGCACCACUGUAAUGAAAAAUAAUUAAGCGGCUGAAAAUGAGUUUUCUCAUGAAAUGGUUUCGGUGGUUGAACACAAUCGUACUUGGCAGAUGGCUACGCCGAUGUGUUUUAAUACAGCAAAGAUAGUUAAUCAUGUGUAAGGUGUGUUCGGCAAGAAACUUUUAAAGCCAUUUCUCUUAGUGAGAGAGAUGGCAAACAACUCCUCCGUGAUCAGUUGGCAAGCAUCCAUCUCGAAUGCUGCGGCUUUAGAAAAAAAGGGUGCUGUCAAGAUGUUUAAAGCAGAGCAUUUUAAUACGCAGCAGUGUUAUUAAGUGCUUUAGUAAAAACUGGGAGGACAAAAACAAAUUAGAAAAAAGGACAAAUCUUGCGGAGGUGAAACUCAAAAAUGAGAGAGAGCAUUACAUGCCUUCCCCCACCUCAUUUAUAUGUACAUAUUCAUCCACUCCAUUUCUGAAUAGGGCAGUAGAGCGUCAGAGUGUGCUGGACAAAAGGGUGAAGUUAUCGGACCGAUUUUUCUUGAGGAUGUUUAGUGAAGGGGAAAAAUGAUAUUCUCCUUUCUUCAAAUCGAUCAACGAGCGAAAUGCUGCAGCAACGCUUCCCUUAACUGCACCAGGGGAUCAAAUUUAAGGAGCUGUGGCUUCAAAGGUAGAAAAAGUCACAUUACUUCUAACAUAAACAGGCAGGAGACAAAGUCUCUGCAGCAGACUUGUUUCACUUUGACGCUCUUGAACAUCCAAUUACGUCACGAACCAUCGUAAUCCCUUUUGUUGAGAGAGAGCCACGCACUGCCUUCCCAAGUCUAAUCACGAAAGUGGCUGAUCGAGACAUCGGCGGUGGAGCAGGCCAAUGGUAAAGAACGGGUCUAUUGUAGUCCAUUGAGGCCCUUACAACCCACCAAGCCAAGAUAGCCUUGGAAAUAUUAUUUUGGGUGACAUGUCCUCAGUUGGCGAGAGUUUGAGAGUCAGUGAAAGAAGCCUUCCUGGCAGAGGGGUGUUCUAUGGCUUCUUUUAUUUGAAAAUGAGCCUCCACCAACCAGCAGAGGGUUGAAGAUCACCUGUUGCUACAACUCUCUAUGAAUAUCCACAAGGAAUCCCACAACUCAAUUUUUCAGCAAGUCAUCCGAUCCAUCGUUGUUGUUUUAAUCGCUUCAUGUUGUCUGUAUGCCUUUUCAAGAAAUGGAAUCGUAAAAGCGUUCCAAAUAGCUGUAAAUUGCUUUUCUUUUUAGGCAUUACAGGGGUUGUGCACUAUUGCAGGAAGUACUGACGUGCAGGAAACAGGGAAUCAGAUAGGGUGGUGUGUGGAUAUAUGGGGGUUGCAGUCUCAGAGAAUCCCUGAGUUAUGUAGAUUCCAGUCCUUACAGUCUUGUUACGUCCCUGACCAUUGUUGGUUGCUUGCGUAUACUUGUGUCGUAUAUGUCUUUCCUUGUUUUGCAGAAAGCCCAGCAGAAGGUUUAAUGAUUACACAUACUUCCCGGUUGAUGGCCCGCCCCCUAAGGCACAUCAGGGUCAAAGGUCUGAAUGUGAAAAACAAGAUCUGAAAAUAUAAAAUCUGCAACCGAAAAAUAGAAUUCAGUGACUGUCAAAUGAAAGACAAGUAAAGAAUGAAACCGGUAAAAUAUUCUGAGUCAAAACUAUAAUCAACCCGAAAAUACUUUUUGUCCACUUAUUUGCAUUUUGAAUACAUUGUUGUAUUUUUCUAAACUCAAACUUUCAGGUUCACAUUUAUUUUUCAAAUGAUCAACAUUUUUGACCUGAAUUUGGCUCCAUACCAGUGGAGAUGUUACGAGACACCGGGUUAGUCCAGAGUUUCAUUCUUGCUUCUGUCUUGCCCUUUCCAGAAGAAACCUACUGUGGUUCUGAUGUACUUGUUCAGGGAUUUGAGUUAGGACAUUUAAAAGUUCCUUUGCACACUGUAUAUAUUAAGAGUGAUUUAGUUUCUGGGUGUUUACGAGUGGCUGUUUGUCCGCACCUUCCCAUGGAAGUCUUCAACCUUCUUAUUGGUGAUGGUCACUUAAGUUGUGUUAAAUAUAUAAAUAUAUUUCUAUUGUUAACGUGAGGCAUUUGCCCACUUCGGAUUAUUGCACAGCACACCCAUAAAUUGUCUACAAGUUUGAUAAGACUAAUCAAUUCUCGUAACAAAAAACAUCUCAAAUGCUCCCCAAGUUGUCGAUCAUGUGACAUGAACGUGUUCUGAAUUGUGAGUGCCAUAACAUGAUUUGCAAGGAUACUCCCUUAUUGCAUACAAAUGUACAUGUGGUCAUAUAUUAUGUCCUCCACCUGUACAUGCCAGAGUGAAUUGAGAUUGAUCAAAAAUGUUGCUGUGUUAAUCAGGUUAUGUUUCCUCAAUUCCUCAGUUAAUUAGAUUAACAUAAUCUUGUUAAAGUGUUUACAUAACACGUGCAACAGCAGCAAACGUUUAAUCUGGAUCUUAUCAAGUAAGGGUAACUAUGGUGUUUCUUGCCCCAGAUUGAACACCUCACUUCGUUUCAGCCAAAUAUGUAAUGGCAAUAACACCAGAAGGAAAGCACUGCGAAUGAAAUCCCUGAGAUUUGACAUUGAAUUAUUAUAGCCUGCAAGUCCUGCCAUGAUUUAGCCAAUCAUUUUAAAGGCUACUGAUUCGCUCAAACAAUAACAGCAAUAGUAGAAGCUAAUUAUUCCUAAAAAAUAAACACAUUGCAUAUCGCAUGGAGAUGUCCCGAGUUUAACUUCAGACACUUUGUUGUACAUAUAUAUAUGCACAUAUA